CAAAGUGAAUGAAAAGUAAAGUGAAUUUUACAGAGUAGAAUGGUAUCCCCCUCUCAGGUCAGCCCUGCUCUUUAAAACAAACACAUGCCCACAGCUUGAGAUUCGCAGCUAUAACUCCUAAAGUCCCAUUGUCUUUUCCUGGGAAUCCACUUAAGCAACUCAAACAGAAUUGCUCUGUCCGGACUGAGGAGACUACUUUACAAGGCUAUAUCAGAAAGCAUUUUGUAUGGUCUCAAUGUAGUAUGUCUUACAAAGAUAGCAGAAUACUGAUAAGAGCAGAAUAUGAAAAAAUCUUCAUCUUGGCUUUAAUUUCUACCAAACCUCCCCAUGAUGGUCCCAUUGUCUUCUCCACCACAAUCCCCUAAGCAUCCAAAGCAACUAAACUACAUGUUGAUCACUAAUGAGAAAAAAUAGAAAAAAUUUUAAGCUCUCCCAGGAAGUUGAAUUCCAUUUAUUUUAUUUUUAGCACCUUCUAUAGACCAUGAUGACUUCAAGAGUCUAUGAAUCAUGUCCUGCCAUAAACCAAUUUUCAUCUUCCUAUAGAAUUAUCCACCCUAAACUUAAUUUAUCUAGCAUCAUAAACCAAACCACUAACUCGAGUUGAACUUGGCUUGGGCUCAAGAGCAUGAAGAGCUAGACAAUGGCUCAUUACGCAUGGUUGAAUGAUCAUUUCUCAUGCUUGACCAAACUUAACUAGAUCAUGUAAAUUUGUAACUAUGGUUAUAGUAAAACUAAACAUUAAGUUAAGAUCACAUAUAUGGUAGUCAACAAAAAGGUAGAGCCAACCAAAGCUUGGAUUAGGUACAGUAAUUUAUUGUGAGCCUCAUUUAGAUCAAGAUCAGCCAGCACCUAGUUAAGCUUGCUCAGGUUGUAGAUAAAAUUCAACGCGAAGUUAAAGCAGAUGCAUAAAAUGAACAACAAGGAGGGACAGAAGGCAGGAAGCUUAACAUGAUCUUCCUAAAAUUGGGCUGUUUCUUAAGAAGGGAUGUGUUGCAAACUCUCUCUUUGUUAAGAAUCAAAAGUACCAGACAUUGAUGAAUGUGAAAACCAAGUCAGGAACAAUAAACAAGUAGAACCCAAUUCUCAAAACAGGGACUAGAAGACAGGGUUCUCUGGGAAAACAUAUUAAGUUUAAGGUUUGGAGUUGGUGGGCGAUAAUGGCAGAAGAAAAAAAAAAAGAGAACACAAAGUCAAUGCAACUUGAAGCUUUAAGCAAAGAAACAAAGAGGGGGAAAGCAAAAAAUUGGAAAGGAAUUUCGAAUAGUUUUGUUUAUUUAUUUUAGAAAUACUAAGAAAAAAUAAUUAUAAUAAAAACUAUUUAAAGUCUUCAUAUUUUUAAUUUAUAAUAAUAUUUGAGAAAUAAAAUAAAAUAAAAUAUUAAAUUUAAGCUUAAUAUUUAUUUUUUUCCCAGCUUCUUACAAAAUUUUCAUAAUUUAAAAUGAAAAGGUAUACUAAUUUUUCUCUAUUUUAUCAUCAUGCCUAAAACUUUCCAUGAUUUAGAUAAAAAUAAAAGGGUAUAAAAGUGAAAAUAAAAAGUAAAGGAAAGUAAGAUUUUUACUAAUAAUUGUUUUUGAAAACAAUCAUUAAAUAGUAAAAUUCUUUAAAAUAAUAUUUUAUUUUUAAAAACAGAAACUGUUUUUAAAUCAUUCGGAAAAACUGAUCUUGAAUUUUAAUAUCUUUAAAUUUUCUUUUAGGUCGGCUAAAAAUUAUUGAAAAAAAUAAAAAUAAAUAAAACCCACUUGAUUUGUUCAUUAAUGGCUGCUUCACACUCCUCGGAAUAGCCUUGGCGAGCAAGCGAAUGUUGAGGAGAAAUCGGAACAAGAAAAUCCUCCUUCUUCAACUCUUCAAACGGCUGAAAUACCACUCUACUAGUCGACAACUCAUUACUUCUCUCUCCUGAUCCCCUCACCACCAAUCCAUUAUUCCCUCUUCUCCUCAGCCACCGAGAAGUACAAGAGGAAGAAGAGCCGAAGCUACCAAAAAGAGGACUUCCAAGACCCUCCCCUGACGACCCUAAGAGAGAAACAACUGAAACACCUCCCACAAGCAUGGCUAAUUCUAUCACAGAAAUGAAGACAAGAUGAGAAAGAUGCAGAUGAGAGGUGAAGUGAUGAAGAGGCUGAUGAUAUAAUAUAAGCUCCCUUUGAGAGAGUUCCAUUCUGAUGGGGCUCAUUUUGGAGCGUAGGAUGAGAACAGAGGUGGAGGGAGGAGGUUGCACCACGUGUAGAGGGCGUGUGGCGAGCUCGUGGUUUAUCCAAGAUGCCAUGGAAUCUGACCAAAUAUCUGCUUCACGUAGCGAUCCAAAUACGGUUUUACUCCACAUCUAGAGUUUUGGGUCAAAAUGACCCAUUUUUGAAACUUAAUGUUGAAAAUGGGCACAUUUUCAAACUAUUGUUCAAAAUGGUCUCUUUGAUGCCACGUAGAUGCCAUAUCAUAAAAAAAAUAUUUUUUUUCAUCAUUAUGGUGUUGAGAAACGCGACUUCAUUUUUGUACUAAAACCACAGUUGGGAAACGCGGCUUCAUUUUUGUACUAAAGCCGUAGUUGCCAACUGUGGCUUUAGUUAAUUUUUAUUUAAAUUUAAAAUUUAAUUAAAAAAUUAUUAAAUUACAAUUUAGGAAUGAAAUUUAAAAAUAUACUUAAAUAAUAAAUUAUUUAUAUUUAAAUUUAAAAUUCUAGUAUUACUUCAACAAACAUAAAUUGAUAAAUAGAAGAUAUUAUAAAUGAAUGUUUUAUUUAUUAAUAAAUUAAUAAUCUUAAAAUAAUAAAUUUAUAUAACAUAUAAAUAAUAUAUAAAAUUGUAUAAUUUAUUAAUUUAAGAUAUUUAAUUUGUUAAUUUUUAAGAUAUUAAUUUAUUUAUAUUAUGAUAAAUUUAUCUUUAUCGAAAUAAUAGUAUAGUAGUUAAUAACUGAGAUUUCAAUUAUAAUAUUUUUUUUUACUUUCAAAUUUAAUUAAAACUAUUAAAUUACAAUUUAUGAUUGAAAAUUUUAAAAUAUACUUAAAUAAAAAAUUAUUUAUAUUUAAACUUAAAAAUCUAGUAUUAUUUCAACAAACAUAAAUUGAUAAAUAAAAGAUAUUAUAAAUGAAUAUUUGAUUUAUUAAUAAAUUAAUAAUCUUAAAAUAAUAAACUUAUAUAACAUAUAAAUAAUAUAUAAAAUUGUAUAAUUUAUUAAUUUAAGAUAUUUAAUUUUUUAAUUUUUAAGAUAUUAAUUUAUUUAUAUUAUGAUAAAUUUAUCUUUAUCGAAAUAAUAGUAUAGUAGUUAAUAACUGAGAUUUCAAUUAUAAUAUUUUUUUUUACUUUCCAAUUUAAUUAAAAACUAUUAAAUCACAAUUUAUGAUUGAAAUUUUAAAAAUAUACUUAAAUAAAAAAUUAUUUAUAUUUAAACUUAAAAAUCUAGUAUUACUUCAACAAACAUAAAUUAAUAAAUAGGAGAUAUUAUAAAUGAAUGUUUUAUUUAUUAAUAAAUUAAUAAUAUUAAAAUAAUAAAUUUAUAUAACAUAUAAAUAAUAUAUAAAAUUGUAUAAUUUAUUAAUUUGAGAUAUUUAAUUUGUUAAUUUUUAAGAUAUUAAUUUAUUUGUAUUAUGACAAAUUUAUGUUUAACAAAAUAAUAACAUACUCUUAAGCCGUAGUUGUCAUAUAUAGAUUUUUUUACAAAAUUAGUUAAUGAAAUUAAUUAUAAAAAGUCUACUACAAAAUGUAAUUUUUAAUAGUUUAAUUAAAGUUACAAAAAAUAUCCACUAAACAUUAAUAUAGUGGAAAAUAAAAAACAUAUAUAAUCUCACAUGCCUCCACAAGGAGAGAAUUUAUGUGUAACUGGUACUCUCUUCCUUUUUGGACAAGAACCUAUAUAUAAUCACACAUGACAAAAUUUAUUUCUCAUAUGGAUACAAUUGGCCGGAUAAAUGCCAAGGCUAGAAAUUGGUUGGAGCAAAUUCCUCUUGAAAAAUGGGCACUCUCAUAUGAUGGUGGGCGGAGAUAUAGGAUUAUGACAACUAAUAUGUCUGAAGUUUUUAAUGGUGUCCUUAAGGGUGCUCGUAACUUACUAAUAACAGCUUUACUCCAGUUAACUUUCUAUCGGGUUAACAGUUACUUCACAAUCAGGCGGGAGCAUGGUGCCAGUCGACUCGCUUCAGGUGAAGAAUUUACUCCACAUAUUGACGCCAAGAUAAAGGCUAAAGUUGUUAAGGCGGGUGCACAUAAGGUUCUUUUGUAUGAUCAUGUGGCGGGACGUUUUCAUGUUAAAACUAGACACUCUAUUGGAAGCAAUAAUAGGGAACCUCGCACAUAUCAUGUUACCCUUCAAACGGGGUCUUGCACAUGUAACAAAACACUUUUGUUAGGAUUCCCAUGUUUGCACAUUCUUGCUGCUUGUCAUUGUCGAGCAAUUGAUUUUCGACAAUUUGUACAAGGUUAUUACACCACACGUGCUUACCUAUCAACAUGGCUCCCUUGUUUUAUCCCAUAUUUGAUGAGUUGGGGUGGCCUCAAUAUAAUGGACCGAUAAUUGUGCCUUCAGACUCAAUGAAAUGGCUAACUUUUGGUAGACCAAAAUCAAGUCGUUUGCAUAAUGAGAUGGAUGCAAGGGAAACUAGGACUCCACAAACAUGUGGACUUUGCAAGCAAUCGGGUCACAAUCGGCGUUCUUGUCCAAAAAGGAAGAGAGUACCAGUUACACAUAGGUUCUCUCCUUGUGGAGGCAUGUGAGAUUAUAUAUGUUUUUUAUUUUCCACUAUAUUAAUGUUUAGUGGAUAUUUUUUGUGACUUUAAUUAAACUAUUAAAAAUUACAUUUUGUAGUAGACUUUUUAUAAUUAAUUUCAUUAACUAAUUUUGUAAAAAAAAUCUAUAUAUGACAACUACGACUUAAGAGUAUGUUAUUAUUUUGUUAAACAUAAAUUUUUCAUAAUACAAAUAAAUUAAUAUCUUAAAAAUUAACAAAUUAAAUAUCUCAAAUUAAUAAAUUAUACAAUUUUAUAUAUUAUUUAUAUGUUAUAUAAAUUUAUUAUUUUAAGAUUAUUAAUUUAUUAAUAAAUAAAAAAUUCAUUUAUAAUAUCUUCUAUUUAUUAAUUUAUGUUUGUUGAAGUAAUACUAGAUUUUUAAGUUUAAAUAUAAAUAAGUAUAUUUUUUAAAUUUCAAUCAUAAAUUGUGAUUUAAUAGUUUUUAAUUAAAUUGGAAAGUAAAAAAAAGAUAUUAUAAUUGAAAUCUCAGUUAUUAACUACUAUACUAUUAUUUCGAUAAAGAUAAAUUUAUCAUAAUAUAAAUAAAUUAAUAUCUUAAAAAUUAAAAAAUUAAAUAUUUUAAAUUAAUAAAUUAUACAAUUUUAUAUAUUAUUUAUAUGUUAUAUAAAUUUAUUAUUUUAAGAUUAUUAAUUUAUUAAUAAAUAAAACAUUCAUUUAUAAUAUCUUAUAUUUAUCAAUUUAUGUUUGUUGAAGUAAUACUAGAAUUUUAAAUUUAAAUAUAAAUAAUUUAUUAUUUAAGUAUAUUUUUAAAUUUCAUUCAUAAAUUGUAAUUUAAUAAUUUUUUAAUUAAAUUUUAAAUUUAAAUAAAAAUUAACUAAAGCUGUAGUUGCCAACCGCGACUUCCUUAAAAAAUGAAGCCGCGUUUGGCAAUUGCGGUUUUAGUACAAAAAUGAAGCCGCGUUUGCCAACUGCGGCUUUAGUGCAAAAAUGAAGUCGCAUUUGCCAACUGCGGUUUUAGUGCAAAAAUGAAGCCGCGUUUCCCAACUGCGGCUUUAGUGCAAAAAUGAAGUCGCGUUUCCCAAUUGUGGCUUUCACUAUAAUGACGAAUUUUUUUUUUUUUUUUUUAAUGAUGUGGCGCCUACGUGGCAUCAAAGAGGCCAUUUUGAACAAUAGUUUGAAAAUGUGCCCAUUUUCAACAUUAAGUUUCAAAAAUGGGCCAUUUUGACCCAAAACUCCCACAUCUAAAUACCUUGUGCUUCUGGAAGUUGUGACUUCCAAGCUUUCGUGUGUGACCAAAUUGUUGAGGAGCCUGUCCUCCACACGAGGCUUUUCCUUAUCCUCCAUCCUACUCUUUUUUCUCAAGUCCUACAUAUCUAUCUAUAUAUAUAUAUUUCCUAUUUUUAAUAAUAUUUUUAACUAAUACUAUAUUUUUAUAAUAAUGAAAUUAUUUAAAAUAGAGAUAAUUGUACUUUUGACCCAAUUGGGUCUAAAACACAAUUAUCCCUUUAAAAUAUAUGUAUUAUAAAAUUAAUUAAUUUUAUAUUUUAAAUUCAGUAUAUAAAAACAAUUAUUAAUUAAUAUGGAUAUAUUUUUAUAAAUAAUAAUAUUACCGAUAACUAUUAUUUUAUAUAUUAUUUCUAAAUAAUAACAUUUUUAAAAAUAUAAAUUAUUUUGUUAGUAUAUAUAUAUAUAUACACACACGUUAAUAUUAAAAUAAUACUAUUUUUUAUUCACUUAGCUAUUGAUUAAAAAUAUUUUGGUAUUUAUCUUGAAUUUUAAUGUUAAUUUUACUAUUAAAUAUAAAUAUAAAUAUUUUUUUAAAGUUUAUUUAAUGCCUUUCUUCCUUAUUUCACUUUGACUUUAUUUCUUAAUAUCCUUUUAAAAAUAUUUUGAUAAAUGAAUGUUUAAUUUUUUUUAUAGGUGAAAUUAAAUUAUAUCAUAUUUAACUUGUUAAAAAAACAUUUAAAAACUUAAAAAAAAUUAAAACUAUUGUGGAUUUUAUUUUAUUCAAGUUUUUUUUAAUAAAACUAUUAUCGGUUCUAUUUUAUUUGAGUGUAUUAAAUUAAUUUUUUUAAAUGAAUAAUUUUCAUUUUUCUUUAAGUUAAAUUAGUUUUGUAAGAUAAACUUUAAAAUUUAAAUAAUUUAAAAUUUAAGCGUUUUAUGUAAGCUGAAAACACAUUCACACGUUCUCAUUUCAUGAUGUGGUCUAGCACUUUGACCACGUCCUCCACCAUCUCACUUCCGCUGCGGUUAAGGAGCACAUUCCAGCAAUUGCUCAACGUGGUGGCAAGAGCAACGUGGUUUGAUGGAAGCCACUGUUAUAAAGUUUUUAGUAAAUGGUCCCGAACUCGCUCUGUUUUUAUCUUUAGAAACACCAUCUAAAAAAGGGAGAUCAGAGUUUGGAAAUCAAGUUUUGUUAUAAAGUUUUUAGUAAAUGGUCCCGAACUCGCUCUGUUUUUAUCUUUAGAAACACCAUCUAAAAAAGGAAGAUCAGAGUUUGGAAAUCAAGUUUUGAAACCGACUACAAUGGCUGGAGGUAAGUAAACUAUUCUUAGUCUUUUUCAGUUUUGAUUCAUGUUGCAAAUUCAUUGGAAUCAUAUAUAUAUAUAGCAUGUAAACAACUUACAUUUGGUAUCAGAGCACGUUAAAUCUUACCUCUGUUUUGUAUUAAUUCUGAAUGAAAAUUCUUGUUAUUAUGAUCUCUCUAAAUUAUAAAAACAAUGGUUGCUUGAGGCGAUCCAAAGGGUUGGUGUAAUUCUUUCAGAAAACGCCAUUACAGGCAUUCAACAAGCAGCCAUUCAGGUGCUGUUUUUGGGUGCUUCAACAGCGCUGUUAAGGCGCCAUUGGAGACACCAUUGGGAGUGCAUUUUGGGGCUGUAACCAGCGCCAUUUCAGGCGCCAUACCAGUCCCGUUCAGGCACCACAUGCAGCACCAUUGAAAGUCCAUUUUUUUGGGGCUGCAACCAGUCCAUUUUCAAGCGCCAUACUAGCCCCGUUUAGGCACCACAUGCAGCACCAUUGAAAGUCCAUUUUUUUGGGGCUGCAACCAGUCCAUUUCAUGCGCCAUACCAGUGCCGUUUUAGGCAUCUUUUCGCACCGACAAGAGGCGCCCUUUAGGAGUGCCGUUCAGACGUUAUUCGUAGUGGUUGGAAGUCACCAGUGAGGACUUACUUGCUGGUGAUGUUGGUAGCCGGAAGGCACCCGUGAGGCUCUUUAUGCCUCUAUUGUAGGUGGCUCCAUGGCUAGCUGGUGAUGAAGCAGUCCACAGGGGUGGCCGUAAAUUAGAACCUAGAGAGAGAAUGGGUUCUAUUAAGUGUUGGGCCAUGUAUUAAAUGGGAAAUUUGGGGCUUGGUAUAAAAGGCUAUUGGGCCCUUUGGGCUUAAUGCAUAAAUAAUGGCCCAUUAUGAAUACUAAGGGUUGGGUUUCUUAUGAAGCCCGCUAAAGUUUGGGUUUUAAUAUGGAUUGACCGGUAAUGGCCUAGAAAUAAAAUUUGUUGGGCCAUGGGGCUCAAUGUGGGCAUGUGGUUGAAUUUUUUAUUUUAAUUAAUUAGGCAUGGAUUUGAUUGUGUUUUAUUUGGAUUUAGGCAUUCAUUCAUAAUCUGAAAUCUUUAAAUUAUUUUUAAAAUUAUCAUGCAAAUUUUAUAAAUGCAAAAUAAAUAAUUAUAUAUUUUUUUAUAUGUUUGUAGCCUAAAUUAAAGUUGUAGCUCUUAAUGCAUGCAAUUAUUGCCUGAAUUUGAGUUAGAUAUAUUAAAAUUAUAUCAUAUAGUUUUAAUGUCUAGUGAAACUAUAUGAUUUUUUAAAUAAUUAAGGAAUAGCCACAACAUCCUUAAUUAUAUAAAAAUUAUAUAUUAAGUGAAUAAGGAUUACAUUAUGGACAUUAAUUAUAAUUAAUUAUAUAAAUAUGAUGAUUUUACCCCACAAGGUUUUCAUUAUGUUUAUAUAAUUAAUUAGGAUAAAAUAUUAAAAUUAAUUUUUCCUAAUUUACCCACAGGAGUUAGGAAGAAUUAAUUUAAUAGGUUUAUCAUAAAGAUUAUAGACAGAAAAUAUCAAACUAUAUUCAUGAUAAAUUUGUGGACCCCGCAUUUCGGCUCAAUGCGUUUCCCACUCGAUGGCGAGCUCGAUUUUUAUUUGAAAAAUAUAUUUUUAUUGAUUAUUUGAAAAUGACUUGGAGUUGCCACUUAUUUUUGUUUUAUUUUUAAAGGGUAAACAAAAUAAGAAAGAAAAACCCUAAGUGUGACUCCUUAUUUUGGAAAAGGUGGUCUGUGAAAAAUCGGAUCGGGUUCGGGGGUCAGGUUACUUAUCGGGAAGGUACGGUAAAGACCGUAGCACCCCUCUAAGUCCCUAAAGUCGGGUCUCUACUAAUGAGAUGAAGCUAACAUGGCAAUCAAUGAGAAAAUAAAUGAAUACUCGAAUCAAUCAUGCACAUAUGAGAAACAAAGCAUGUAUAAAGAAUGAGCAAAAUAUGAAUAGAUGCGUACCUGGGCGGCAAUCACGAAUGCGCUAUCAUGAAACAUGGUUAGUGAACAAUGAACAUAUAUAAUUAAGCGCAUAUCAAGGAAUAGAGUAAAUCAAUCAUGCAUGACAAAUAAAUCAAUCAAUCAUGGAAUCUCAUAUGUAGGGCCCCCACCAAGACCCAAUUCAUUUUUGCAUGAAUUAAUUCCAUAAAUUCCCUUGCUUGGAAUUACGGAAUUUUAUUCUAGCUUAUUUUAAAACAUUUUGAAAAUAUGAGGAGUUGUGAAAAUUGCUUGUCAGGGAGAAAAGUGACAGCAAAUUUUUAUUAGAAAAGUGGAUUUUUGGAACCUAAAGAAAACUAAAGAUGAAAGAUGGAGGAGUUAAAAUUAUUUGGAAAACAAUAUUGAAAAGCCAUUUGCAAGAUUGGUGUUUGGGAAGAUUAUUUUCUAAGUCAAAAGAUGAUGGAAUGGGAUGGGAUUUAGAUCACAGGUGGCCACUCCAUGAGAAAGGGUGCUUGAAUGAUCAUAAACCCGGACAGUAGUGAUGUGGGGCCUGGCUUGCCAUUGGGAACACAAAUAUAACUGUCUUGGUUAGAACAUUCUCUAGAAGGCAGAGGACACCAAAGCAUUUUCCUUUCUUUAUUACUUCAACCAAAACCGUCAACGUUCCAUCAUCAAUAUAACCAAUGAUUGUUGAUCCCAUGAACCAACGUAAUCAAGGUAUUCAUUGCCAUCCAUAACUCACACGUGAGAACCUUGAUGGAAUCAAUUAAAAUAGUCCUUGAUAGAAACGUAGGCUUCAUCUCUCAAAUCUGGCCUUUCAUAUCCCCUCAUUUGUCCAUGUCACAACUACUGUCACCAAGCCAUAAGCCUCUUGAUCUCAUGAUAACCCCACUAUUCAACCCAAUACUUCAAUGAUGAUUUUCUUUCAUUUGCAUUCCUGACCUCCUCUUAUCUUCACUACUGAUCCCAUGGAUGUUUACAGGAUUGAGUAUUUGGACGAGAGCAAGCUUUGAUUAGAACCCUGUAUCAUGUUGAGUCUCUGCCAGCCUGGAAGGAUAAAAAUCACGUUGCCCCAUAGGGUGAGUCUUACUUUGAUUUACUCUUCUUGCAAUCACAUCAUCGUACUUUAACUUGUCUCAUGAGAUUCUUUCUUGAGUUUUGACUUGAUAAACCCCAAAAGAAAUUUCUGAUUCAUGCACGUUGAGUGAUGAAUGCGUGUAUCAGCCUUCCUGACAUUGUAAAAGUCACGAUGUGGUGCACUUUUCUGGAGUUUAGAGUGAUCAGCCAUGCAAAUUGAAGAGAUUUUGGCAUAAAGAAGGUGGGGAUGGAGCACCACGACUUGAGAGGACUUCGAUGGAUCAAGUUGCUCCUCUGCAACCAGCGUUUGGUUUAUGGGAGUGUAAGUGCAGCACCAAAGCUUAGACAAGAGGAAAACACUUGGGACGCGAACAAGCUUGAUGACGCUACUGAUGAUGAUGCUGCUGCUGCUACUGAUCUUUGGUUGAAUUCGCAAAGUCCCCGGAUUCCCUUCAUGGAAGCGUGUGCAGCUGUGACAAACCAACCAAGUAACGUCGAAGGAAACCCAUUAUGCCUGUACUCGUCAACACUGAUGCUGGAUCAUGUUCUUGUUGAUGAAAGAUGAAGCUUAGGGCAGCAGUAGAUGGAGAUGAUUGCUGAGGUGACGGAGGUGUUUCGCCGCCGAUGGCAAACUGCCGGCGUCGUUUGAGGACAGCUGAAUUUGGCACAUUUCUCUCUCAAUGCGUUAACAUCUUUCCAAUGCAAUCCUUUUUAUUUUAGUUUCAUCAGAAAUGACAGAUUUAGCAACCUCUUCAGCACGAUUAAACUGUACCUGAUCAACUUGUCCAAGUGAAGCAAUUGGAAGUAGUUCUCCUGCCGUGUUGGUCCUGUGCUGUACCAUCCAACCACAUGCUACUUUUCUUUACCAGCAAACCACUGACAGUUUCACCAACUAAAAGCGGCCAUGCACCUUCUCUAAUGGGUAUAGGGACGACAUGUUCGAACCGGAGCGGGAACCAGAUUAUGUGGAAAACCUCAUUGCUACCAACAGAAACUUCUCAUUGCUUGGGAGUUCCUUUUCUGAAGUCAUUGAAAGGCCUCAUUGUGGAUAUGAAGCCGCUGGAGUCGCCCUCUUUAUGAUUAUGUUUUCUUCUAUAACCCUCCUUUUUUUCAUCAUUCAAAGAUGUCGAAAUGAGAGAGACACGUGGAACGAGACUCUUGGCACGUCUAAGCUGGGUCUCAUAUGGAAUGAUGGAAGAUGGGUCCUAAGCUGAAGGUGAUGGGUAUCCAAGAUGGGGUGAAUGACAUGCAUGGAGGGUAUAGAAAAAGAAUGGUGAUAAUAGAAAUGGGUAUGAAAGGUGUAUUGGGUAUGGGUGUGAGAGAGAUGACCAGAUUUGCAUGUUCUCAUGAGCGUGGGUGGAUGAAUCUGAGGAGUUUUGGACAGCCAUGCAUGGGCGGAAACAGGUAAUGGGUUGAUGGAAUGGGUAGAGAGGUUUAAUGAGAAAAUGGGUAUAGGAAAAGGUGAUCUGGCUUGCAUGGUCUCCAUGCACGAGGGUGAGUACCAAGGAAUCAAUAGCAGGGAUGAAGAUGUCACAUUGAAGCUUGUCUCAAUUUCUGUAACAUGGAUAACAUCACAUCCAGGUGCACGGAUAGCUUCCCUUAGCAUUUGGCCACCUCAGACAAUAAGGAGAUGCAGCUAGUUGCUCCUUGAUAAUGCGAAACAGUUUUUCAAGAGUUCCAAAGUCAACUCCAUCCAAACCUAUUCUCACUAGUGUAGUGGCGCUCCACAAACCAUUCUCGGUAGGAGUCGAUUUCCAAGUACCUAGUGAGGACAUCAAUUACAUCGGUACAUUGAACGCACCUAUAUGUAAGCACCCAUGAUGCGUAGUCACACUCCAACUGCAAAUUAAAUUGAAUAAAACCUUUCAUGGAAGCAUCUCUGACAUCUAAAUGAGACCCUGUCAAACCUUGAAUUAUCUGAGAUUCAUCAAAUACUCUUCAUUCAGAGCAUCCAACUCAGCCAUAACUUCAUCAGAAUCAGGCACCACAAAAGCCAAUGACCCAAUUGAGUCUACUUGUGUUAUGGAGGGCACUUGCUCCAUCUCAAUAGAUAUGGUAUCAAAAGCAUGAACUGUAUUUUGCUCGCAGUUUCUUCACUCCCUGGGAAAAUAUUGCUUCUGCCGGGAUGAUCAAAUCUAUAUAGCAUGCCUCGGUUGAUAUAACAAUAAUGACCUCCAGCUUUCAGAAAGUAUGAUGCAUUUAGAACCCAAAAUCCUGACUUGAUCAGGCUAUGCAAUCAUCAGAAAAUAUCACAUCAACCAUGCCAACCAGCAUUGCCAGAUGCUUCAAGUGUAGGAAACCCAUAUUCCAAAUCACCUUCCUAUUUACUGUUUUCAGCACCAGCCUGUGAAAGAAAAAGGGAACCAAAGGGGUUGGAAAAUGAACCCUCACAUACAGCAAUAUGGCUAAAAGAUCUCAAAAGAUUGCAUGUCGAGCAAUGACAUUCUUUUAUGAAGAAAGGGUUAGCUAUUGUAAAUGAAGAGUGGGUUCAAUGUAUGAGGAAGAGUAAUGAAGAGUGGGUUCAGUGGGCUUGGAAAAAUGAGAGGAUGUGAUGAGAUAGGUAUCGGCUAUGAGCAGAGGGUUAAGGAAAAAUGAAGGUUGGAUAAUGAGACUUAUUGGCAAACAUAUUUGCAGGUUAUGGGACAAAAGGAGCAUAGCUGGAAUUGUUUCUUUUAGGGCAUCCAUGUUGUGAGGAAGCUGAGCCAGAGAAUGGAGGACGACUCUCCAAUCCAGCAUUUUAUGCAGUAGUGGUGCUGUUAUUGUCUACCCCAGAAACAACAGAUGAGUGACUAAGAAUCUCAUCCAAACUCUUGCUGUCACUUGUGUCAAGAGUCUUAUUAGAACCUCCACUUUAAGGGUGUCUUGUGCUGACAACAAACCUGUUAACCCCUUUCCUUAAUGGCAUGAUUUCAGGAAAAUCCUCAUCUCCUAUGGCAUUGUUCAUGUCUGUGGUGCUAUUCAACUGAGAGAUUUUACUGGACCACCACUCUGCCUUCUCUUCAUUUGUUAGCUAACCUGCUAUCCAUAUCAACCUUAUUUGCAAAUCUACCAUUACCAUAUCCCACACUUAACCUGGAGUUGGUGGGACCAAAUGAGGCUUCUCCUGAUCGCUUGCAAUCACACCUUAAGCCUGUCGCAUUCUUCCCAUAAUUUAAGAAAUCACACUGAGGACACUCCCACUCCCCGCCAGUCAGCUAUCUCUUUGGCCGUACCUCCUCACACCCCAGACAUUUCAUGUUUCUUGCGAAGUUCAGGAAACUACAUCUUGGGCAAAGCCAGUCACCUCUCUUCAUUUCAAUAUUUUGGCCAAGAUGUCUUGGUGUUUGUCCAUAUCUAUCUGAGAUGUUUUUGCAUUGACCUAGACAGAUCUGAUGCUGGAGCUCUACAACUCAUCUCAGCCAACUCAUUCAAUAGAUUCUGAACGGAGGAUUCAACAAGUUCCCAGUCGUAGCCAUCAUUCCUCCUUGGAGAAAUCAGUAGGAUUGCUUGCAUAACUCAAUAAGAACCUCAUCAGCUCAACUGUGCGUGCUUUCUCAGAUUCCAUAACCUGGAAAUACUCCCCUCCAUCUUGCUACCAUAGUAGUUCCUUGUUCUCUCGGGCAGGGAUGAAAGAACUGGUGCCCACCAUAGACGGAUACCAAGAACAGGGGAUAAUGGCAAAACAGAGCACGUAUAACAAGAACAAAAUGAACCCAUUCAAGCCUCAUGUCAUAGAUCAGUCAAUGGGCUCAGAUGAAGGUGAGUGAAAUCAAAUGAGUAUCAAACAAAAAUCAAAACAGAGUUACAAAUAUCCCAUGGGGAAACUGAAACAGAGCCAAACAAGUCCUCAACAAAAAUCAUUAAAGAAAGAGAGAUAUGAGCAUGCUUACUCCAAACCAACAAAAAUCAUCCAAGAAUCAACAAAAACAAGAGAAGAAAAACUUACUAGUAGAAGCGAAUGAGAAAUCCACAAUAAACAUACCUGAAAAUCCUCUCCAGCUAGGUUGGCCAGAAAUCAGCAAGCCAUCCUUCUUCUUCCUCUCUGAGACCGUUUCUUUUCAACUGGUAUUCUUUCUACAGCAAGCUUCACUCCCUGGUUUUCCUUAAGCUGAGCUAUGUUCCUCAAACUCAGAGAACCUCCCCCCGGAAGCUCUCCACACCAGCCUCUCCUCCUCUGCUCUAGCUAAUCUCCUCUAAGCCUUUCAUCCGUAGCAGCCUAAGCUCAAGGAAUCUCUUUCUCUCUUCUCUUUUCCCUCUUCCACAGCUCUGGGAUCCCCCCUCAGGAAAAUCCUCCUCCCUCUACUAAAAAAACCAAACAAAAGCUCUCUCCUCCUGAAAAAAAAACCACCUGCAGGAGACGCUCCGCCUCUAACAGACUCUGAACGCCCUCUACAUAUCCUCCUCUAGGUGUCGCCUCCUGAUAGCUCUUCAAAAAGCAAUAUCUGAUUCCAUAGCAGCCAAUUAAAUGACGCCAUGUGGUCUCCUAGGGUUGCGACACUUGGCAAAACAAGCUGCAUGAAAGUGCAUGAAACCGAGCCCCAAAAUGGGGGUCUACAAAAUUUCAUAAUUCAAUAAAAUAGUUUGAUAAAGUCUAUCAUAAAGAUAAUUAAUUUGAUUGAAUUAAAGAUUUAGCCCACAGACAAUUUUUAAUAAAAUUAGAUUAAAUUUUAAGCAUGUUCUACAUUGUGUGGACCCGCAUUUUUCACGUGCGCUCCCACUCGAUCGGCGAGACUCGCUUUUUAUUUGUGAAAAAUUAAUUUUUAGAAAAAAGUUGGAGCCACCACUUUUUUUAUUUUUAUUUUAAAGGGAAAAUAAAACAAGAAAGAAAAACCCUAAAAUGUGACUCCAUAAUUUUUGGAAAAAGCAUGUCUUUGAAAAAAAACCCGAGUCUAAGUCUGGGGAUCAGGUUACCUAUUGGGAAGUUACCCUUAAAAGGUAGCACCCCUCUAAGCCCUAUAAAGGUCUCUACUAACUAAGUUAAGGGGAAUGUGGCAAUUAAUCGGUUAAUUAUGGAUACCUAAGUAGGCUAGGUGGUUCCAAAAAAUAGCAUGCCAAACAAGAUCAAAUCAUAAUAAAGGAAAGUUAAGAUGCGUACUCGGAUCGCUUCUCAAGCGCUAUCAUAAAACAUCGAUGGUUAAUUUAAACAAUAUAUCAUCCACCAUGUGUUUUAUUAGAAAUAAUCAAACAAUGAAACAUGUAUAUCAGAACACUCAAGCAUUAUUAGACAUAAGCAUUAUUUCACAAUGACAAGCAUAUUCACAGAAUUCAGAAAGUAGGUGAUAGAAGACAUACCUGGAUAGCAUAGAUAAUUUGUAACGUGCUUCCUCAAGUUGUAAGGGGUUAGAUAAUAAAUAAUCAAAUAUAGAAAUCCUAGCAUGCUCGUUAUCUAAUUAGCAUAGCAAAAGUGAUUAAAGUAUACAGAAUCAUCAAUUAUCACAUACAUCUUGUAUAUAAUUCCUAAAAAAAUAGAUAGACAUGAUUUCAACAAGUGCCAAAUGUGGCAACAAAAAUAAAUUUUGAAAAGAUUUUCUUAUGUAGGGGUUUCACUAAUUCCUCAAUCGAUAUAUACGAAUUUAGCUUAGAAUUAUCCCAUUUAUUUGGGACCACAAGCUUUGAUUCGUGUUUUAUUCAAAACUGUAAUUUUAUUUGAAAGAUGUGAACCGAUCAAAACAUGGUUGCACAUUAUUUUAAAAAAAUGAGAUUUUGAUUCUAAGAACUCUAAAUGAAUUUUUGAAAUGGAUUGUUAAGGGGAUCUUUUGAGAAUAGUGUUAUGUUUUUAAAAAUUAAAAGAAAUUAAAUUCUUUUUUUUUUUUUAAAAAAAAAAAACAUAUGAAUCAAAAUACCAAGCAUAACAAAAGAGAACAAGAUCACAAAUUAGAAUUUUUGACAACCGAGAAAAUUGAAGGUGAGAAUGGAGGCCAAUCUUCAUGAGUUUCCAAAGGUCUCAGAAAAAGAAAUCAAAUUAAGUGAAGGAUCACUAAAGCAACAAACAAAGAUUCUAGAUUAGACAAACUAACAAUGUAUCGAUUCAUGAACUAACCGCUAGGAUUUUAAAAGCAAAUAAAUUUAGAUAAGGGUGAUCAGGAUCUAACAUUAAUGAUUUUGAAACAAAAACUAAAAAUGGAUCAAUUCAGGCAAGAAACUAAAAUUAUAGAAGUACCUAAACUAAUUAAAACGAGUUUGACUAAAUUAAACUAAAAACGUGAACUUUCAAACAUAGAAUUAAUUUUACUAAUGAACUACAAUUAUAAAAGUGCUUAAACUAAUUAAAAUGAGCCAAACUAAAUCAAAGCAAACUAAAGAUAUGUACUUUCAAGCAUAGAAUUAAUUUUAUUGAUGAACCAAAAAUUAUAAAAGUGUCUAAACUAAAUAGAUGAAUUAAAUUAAAUCAAAGUACACUAAAAACAUGAACUUUUAAAUAAAGAAUCAAUUUUAUCAAUAAAUAAAUAAAACUAUAAAAACACAUAAACUAAUUAAAAGGAACCAAUUUAAAUCAAAGAAUACUAAACAUAUGAACUUCCAAACAUGGGAUCAAUUUUAUUAAUAAACUAAAACUAUAAAAACACCUAAAAUAAUGAAUACAUAUUAUUAAAUCAAAGCAAACUAAAACAAAAACUGAAACUUUCAAACAUGGGAUUAAUUUUAUUAAUGAACUAAACUAUAAAAAAUAUCUAAACUAACUAUAAUGAAUCAAAUUAAAUUAAAGUAACCUAAAAACGCAAACUUUCAAACAUAAAAUCAAUUUUAUCAAUGAACUAAAACUAUAAAUGUAUUUGAAAUAAACAGAUGAAUUAAACUAAAUCAAAAGUAAACUAAAGACAUGAACUUUUAAAUAUAGAAUCAAUUUUAUUAAUGAACUAAAAUUAUAAAAGUAUCUGAACUAAUUAAAAUGAAUCACAUUAAAUCAAAGAAUACUAAAAAUAUGAACUUCCAAACAUGGGAUCAAUCUUAUUAAUAAACUAAAACUAUGAAAACACCUAAAAUAAUGAAUAUAAAUUAUUAAAUCAAAGCAAACUAAAAAAAACUGAAACUUUCAAACAUGGGAUCAAUUUUAUUAAUGAACUAAGCUAUAAAAAAUAUCUAAACUAACUAUAAUGAAUCAAAUUAAAUUAAAGCAACUUUUAGAUAUGAAAAGAGUGACAUGGAAGCAAUUGAACUAAUAAACUAAAUUUUAAUAACAUUUAAACUAAAAGAUAAAUUAAAACUUAAACUAAAAGAAAUUAUGAAUUUCCUAAUUGAGAACAAAAAUAAUGCUAAUCAAAAUUCUAAAUUUUUAACCAUUAUCACAAAUUAUCCAAACUCUAAAAAAUCCUAACUUUUCCAUUAUCAACAAAAUUCCCUAAACCAAUACUUUAAAAAUAAUAAUGAUAAUAAUAAGUAAAUAAAUAGCAAAAAAUCUAAUUUGUCGAACUAAGAAAAUAAAUUUUAACUACAUUAAACAUAAAUCAUAAUUUUCAAGCAAGAAUAAUAAAUCAGUAAUAAUUAAUUUAGUUAGUUAAGAAAAAUUAAAAAUUAACAUCUAAGCUAAAUAUGAAUUUACAAUAAAAUAAAAUUUUAAAAUGCAUAGGCCGAAUGGGAAUAAUACAAGACUAAUUUUAACGAAUUAAAAACAUGAAUACAUUGACAUUGGGAAUGAGUAACUAAAUAUAUAAAAUUCUGAAAUAAUUAUGAAUGGCAUUGAAUAGUCAUGAAUCCAAAUUAAAAUAGGAAGAAUUAAUUUACCUUGGUCAAAGACGCAUGGGCUACUUUUGUUAGUGACAGUAGGAUUUUUAAAAUCAAUUCCGCCUGGUGUGGUGGAUACCAUGCACUGCAAAUACUUGCACAGUCACCAAAACAAUGCGUAUUAGUGGAGAGAAAUCUUCCCUGACAGUGUGUUGCCCUUGAGAGAAUCUGGUGGUCUCCUUUAUGUCCUCCGAGCAGCAACCCCUUAAGUUGAAUGACAUUUUCUAUGGCCACACGAUCCCCUUUGGUGCAGCCCGCACAUGGAGUCUUUCUUGGUGGCUGGUUUUUGGGCAAAAUCUGGCGAGCUCUUUUCAAAGUCCAGAAUGCGUGGAUGUUCUCGAUGAGAAACCCUCGUUUGGUGAAGACGAAGGUAAUCCGCGUCUUGACCGGAGUGAAGACUUCUUGAACGAUCUAUUUUUUUUUUAAAACGAUAACUCCUAAUAGUUCACGAAAACACGAUCUGAUCCGACUGCUAUCGCGCCAUUCAAGGUAUAGUCGUGCUUCUCCGAAGCUUUUCUCGCGCGCUUGCCUUCUUUCCCUUCCUUCUAUAUAUGUAUCACCCUCCAAGACCUAAAUUUGUUUCCAAAAGGGAAAAUUCUCCUUUUUUUUUUUUUUUUUCAAUCUUCCCUUUCAAAAGUCAUCUUCCCAAUUUCAAAUUCCCCUCCAAAAACCUUCCAUGGAGAGUCCCACUUUCCUUAAACUCCAAUGGUAAGUUUCCUUGCAAAAGCAUGGAAUUUUUGAAGUUAAAUAAUUGAUUCAUAGAUAAAUAAGUAAAUAAAUUAGAAAAUGGUAAAAAUAAUAAAUAAAUAAAUAGGUUAAGGAAAAUAAUAUAAAGAGGAAAAUAACCAAUAAAAAGUGAAUGAUAGUCAUAAAACUAAAACUAAAAAAAAAAAAAAAAAAAAAACAAAUUAACAAAAAUUUGUGCCCCACGAGCCAUGCAAACAUGCAAGUCAUACAAGUUACGCUAAAAAGUCUUAAUGGGCCAAGUGUGCCUACAUGGGCCUAAGGUGAGACUAGGUGGGCCUAACUAAAUGGGCCAAGGGUGCCUAAAAGCUAUUCUAAAAAAAAGCAAGAAAAGCCUAAGUAUAAAUCAAGACUGCCAAUGAUCGCAAUAAAGGGACGGAUAAUCCCUGAACCAAACUCUCCGAGGUGACUCAGAAAAAGGUAAGUUGUACGAGUAGUAAUGAGCCAACAAGGAGUUACUAUGGAGCAUUAAAAAUGAAUUUAAAAACAUGUGCUAAAGGGACAAAAUUGAGGGUCUACAAAUAUGCCCCUCUUCGGUUAAUCGGAAUGUCCAUAGAGGAAGCUAGGGUAGCUAAGGCGUCGGCAAAUCGAUUUUGCACUCUAGGCAGAUGAACAUAUCUUAAGUUGUCAAAUCUCGCAACCAACAACUCUAAAUAAGCAUGAUAUGGCCUAAGCUUCACGUCCCUAGUCUUCCAGUCUCCCUGAAUCCGUCAGAGUACCAAAUUGGAGUCACCAAAUACUUCCAUCUGUCUAAUGCCAAACUCUAAUGCAGUCUCUAAACCCAGGAUGCAAGCCUCAUACUCAACUAUGUUAUUCGUAAUAGGAUGUCGAUCAUGGAAUGCCAAACGAACAGAUCUCAGAAUAUGAUCGCCUUGAGGGGACACCAACAGAACACCUAUCCCAUACCCUAACUGAUUGGCUGCACCAUCAAAGUACAAGCACCAUUCUGAUAAGCUAGUCAUAGCAACAAACUCGUCAUCUGAAAAAUCAUCAUCAACUGGUCUGUCCUUAGAUGUCGGUAGUGAAGCUAAGUGAUCGGCGACAAUACUUCCCUUAAUAGACUUCUGAGAAACGUACUGAAUAUCGAACUCUGUCAAAUGUACGAGCCAUCUCAUCAAUCUACUAGUUAAUGCAGGUCUAUCAAACAAGUAUCUCAACAGGUCUAGGCGGGAUAUCAAAUGCACUGAAUACUCUGUCAUGUAAUGCCUUAAUCUCCUGGUAGCCCAAACUAGUGUUAAGAAAAGGCGCUCAAUCAUAACAUAUCUCAUCUCAUACUCCAACAUCCUCUUACUUAGGUAGUAAAUAGCUCGUUCCUUUCCUAAGUCAUCAAUAUGAGCUAACAUACAUCCCAAGGCCAUGUCUGAAACUGACAAAUAUAGAAGAAGUGGACGUCCUGACGUAGGAGGCACUAAAACUGGAGGAGAAAGCAAAUAUUCCUUGAUCUUCUCAAAUGCAAACUGACAAUCAUCAUUCCAAACUGUUGGCGGAUUCUUCCUUAAAAGAUGAAAGAUGGGCUCACAUAUGUCUGUUAAUCUGGCUAUGAAUCGAUUGAUGUACUGCAAUCUGCCUAGAAAACUCCUGAUCUCUUUCUCAGUCUUAAGCGCAGGCAUGUCAAGUAUAACUUUGAUUUUAUCUGGGUCGACCUCUAUGCCUCUCUCACUGACCAUAUGUCUUAAUAAUUUCCCAAAAGUCACUCCAAAGGUGCACUUCUUGGGAUUCAGCCUCAAUCUAAACUUUCGGAUCCUCUAAAAGAAUCUCUCUAGAGCAUCUAGGUGAUCUGCUCUACCUCGGGAUUUCACAAUCAUAUCAUCCACAUAAACUUCAACAUCCAUAUGCAUCAUGUCAUGAAACAAAGUAGUAGCGGCUCUCUGAUAAGUGGCUCCUGCGUUCUUCAACCCAAAUGGCAUAACCUUAUAACAGUAGGUACCUCACUCAGUAAUAAAGGUUGUCUUCUCCAUAUCCUUUGGAGCCAUCAAAAUCUGAUUAUACCCUGAAAACCCAUCCAUGAAAGACAACAUCGAAUGGCCUGCGGUGCUAUCAACCAACAAAUCAAUAUGUGGGAGAGAGAAGUCCUCUUUAGGACUGGCUUUAUUAAGAUCUCUGAAGUCCACACAAACUCUAACUUUGCCAUCCUUUUUGAGUAUUGGGACGACAUUAUCCAACCACUCUGGAUACUCAACCACUGAUAUGAACCCAACACUGAGCUGUUUCUGAAUCUUCUCUUUCACUUGUAGACUCCAACGUGGAUGCAACCGUCUCAAUUUCUGCUUAACUGGUCUGGCAUGUGGUAGGGUAGGUAAAUGGUGCUGGACUAUAGAGGGAUCGAGACCUGGCAUGUCCUUAUAAGACCAUACAAAGACAUCAAAGUAUGACCUGAGUAAAUGAAUGAGUCUAUCUCUCUCAUCUGUAGAUAGGGGUGAACUAAUCUUCAACUCUCUAGGCUGAUCCUCUGUGCCAAAAUCAACAGUUUCAACGUCCCCUGUAGUAGGUGAAACUCUCACAUCUAUGGGAUCGAAGUCAUGAUCAAAAGAGUCCCUAUCUUAACCAAGCUGUGCAAUCUCAUCAUCUAUAUCAAAUAUCUGUGUAAUGGGUGAGUGGGGUGCAGAUGUAGAGAUACUAUUGUAGACCCUCAAUUUUGUCCCUUUAGCACAUGUCUUUAAAAUUCAUUUUCAAUGCUCCACAAUAGUUCCUUGGUGGCCCAUGGCUACUCAUACCACUUACCUUUUUCUGAGUCACCUCGGAGAUUUUGGUUGAGGGAUUAUUUGAUCCCUUAUUGUGACCCUUGGCAGCCCUAACUUAGACUUAGGCUUUUCUUGUUUUUUUAGGAUAGCUUUUAGAUACACUUGGCCCAUUAGGCACUACCCUAGGCCCACUUAGUCUCACCUUAGGCCCGUUUAGGCACACUAGGCCUACGAAGACUUUUAUUUUAUUUUAUUUUAUUUUAUUUAUUUAUUUAUUUAUUUAUUUUGUUUUUAAUUUUAAUUUUAUGAUUAUCAUUCACUUUUUAUUGGUUAUCUUCCUCUUUAUAUUAUUUUCCUUAACUUAUUUAUUUAUUUAUUAUUUUUACCAUUUUUUAAUUUAUUUACUUAUUUAUCUAUACAUGCAAUUAUUUAACUUCAAAAAUUUCAUGUUUUUGCAAGGAAACUUACNNNNNNNNNNNNNNNNNNNNNNNNNNNNNNNNNNNNNNNNNNNNNNNNNNNNNNNNNNNNNNNNNNNNNNNNNNNNNNNNNNNNNNNNNNNNNNNNNNNNNNNNNNNNNNNNNNNNNNNNNNNNNNNNNNNNNNNNNNNNNNNNNNNNNNNNNNNNNNNNNNNNNNNNNNNNNNNNNNNNNNNNNNNNNNNNNNNNNNNNNNNNNNNNNNNNNNNNNNNNNNNNNNNNNNNNNNNNNNNNNNNNNNNNNNNNNNNNNNNNNNNNNNNNNNNNNNNNNNNNNNNNNNNNNNNNNNNNNNNNNNNNNNNNNNNNNNNNNNNNNNNNNNNNNNNNNNNNNNNNNNNNNNNNNNNNNNNNNNNNNNNNNNNNNNNNNNNNNNNNNNNNNNNNNNNNNNNNNNNNNNNNNNNNNNNNNNNNNNNNNNNNNNNNNNNNNNNNNNNNNNNNNNNNNNNNNNNNNNNNNNNNNNNNNNNNNNNNNNNNNNNNNNNNNNNNNNNNNNNNNNNNNNNNNNNNNNNNNNNNNNNNNNNNNNNNNNNNNNNNNNNNNNNNNNNNNNNNNNNNNNNNNNNNNNNNNNNNNNNNNNNNNNNNNNNNNNNNNNNNNNNNNNNNNNNNNNNNNNNNNNNNNNNNNNNNNNNNNNNNNNNNNNNNNNNNNNNNNNNNNNNNNNNNNNNNNNNNNNNNNNNNNNNNNNNNNNNNNNNNNNNNNNNNNNNNNNNNNNNNNNNNNNNNNNNNNNNNNNNNNNNNNNNNNNNNNNNNNNNNNNNNNNNNNNNNNNNNNNNNNNNNNNNNNNNNNNNNNNNNNNNNNNNNNNNNNNNNNNNNNNNNNNNNNNNNNNNNNNNNNNNNNNNNNNNNNNNNNNNNNNNNNNNNNNNNNNNNNNNNNNNNNNNNNNNNNNNNNNNNNNNNNNNNNNNNNNNNNNNNNNNNNNNNNNNNNNNNNNNNNNNNNNNNNNNNNNNNNNNNNNNNNNNNNNNNNNNNNNNNNNNNNNNNNNNNNNNNNNNNNNNNNNNNNNNNNNNNNNNNNNNNNNNNNNNNNNNNNNNNNNNNNNNNNNNNNNNNNNNNNNNNNNNNNNNNNNNNNNNNNNNNNNNNNNNNNNNNNNNNNNNNNNNNNNNNNNNNNNNNNNNNNNNNNNNNNNNNNNNNNNNNNNNNNNNNNNNNNNNNNNNNNNNNNNNNNNNNNNNNNNNNNNNNNNNNNNNNNNNNNNNNNNNNNNNNNNNNNNNNNNNNNNNNNNNNNNNNNNNNNNNNNNNNNNNNNNNNNNNNNNNNNNNNNNNNNNNNNNNNNNNNNNNNNNNNNNNNNNNNNNNNNNNNNNNNNNNNNNNNNNNNNNNNNNNNNNNNNNNNNNNNNNNNNNNNNNNNNNNNNNNNNNNNNNNNNNNNNNNNNNNNNNNNNNNNNNNNNNNNNNNNNNNNNNNNNNNNNNNNNNNNNNNNNNNNNNNNNNNNNNNNNNNNNNNNNNNNNNNNNNNNNNNNNNNNNNNNNNNNNNNNNNNNNNNNNNNNNNNNNNNNNNNNNNNNNNNNNNNNNNNNNNNNNNNNNNNNNNNNNNNNNNNNNNNNNNNNNNNNNNNNNNNNNNNNNNNNNNNNNNNNNNNNNNNNNNNNNNNNNNNNNNNNNNNNNNNNNNNNNNNNNNNNNNNNNNNNNNNNNNNNNNNNNNNNNNNNNNNNNNNNNNNNNNNNNNNNNNNNNNNNNNNNNNNNNNNNNNNNNNNNNNNNNNNNNNNNNNNNNNNNNNNNNNNNNNNNNNNNNNNNNNNNNNNNNNNNNNNNNNNNNNNNNNNNNNNNNNNNNNNNNNNNNNNNNNNNNNNNNNNNNNNNNNNNNNNNNNNNNNNNNNNNNNNNNNNNNNNNNNNNNNNNNNNNNNNNNNNNNNNNNNNNNNNNNNNNNNNNNNNNNNNNNNNNNNNNNNNNNNNNNNNNNNNNNNNNNNNNNNNNNNNNNNNNNNNNNNNNNNNNNNNNNNNNNNNNNNNNNNNNNNNNNNNNNNNNNNNNNNNNNNNNNNNNNNNNNNNNNNNNNNNNNNNNNNNNNNNNNNNNNNNNNNNNNNNNNNNNNNNNNNNNNNNNNNNNNNNNNNNNNNNNNNNNNNNNNNNNNNNNNNNNNNNNNNNNNNNNNNNNNNNNNNNNNNNNNNNNNNNNNNNNNNNNNNNNNNNNNNNNNNNNNNNNNNNNNNNNNNNNNNNNNNNNNNNNNNNNNNNNNNNNNNNNNNNNNNNNNNNNNNNNNNNNNNNNNNNNNNNNNNNNNNNNNNNNNNNNNNNNNNNNNNNNNNNNNNNNNNNNNNNNNNNNNNNNNNNNNNNNNNNNNNNNNNNNNNNNNNNNNNNNNNNNNNNNNNNNNNNNNNNNNNNNNNNNNNNNNNNNNNNNNNNNNNNNNNNNNNNNNNNNNNNNNNNNNNNNNNNNNNNNNNNNNNNNNNNNNNNNNNNNNNNNNNNNNNNNNNNNNNNNNNNNNNNNNNNNNNNNNNNNNNNNNNNNNNNNNNNNNNNNNNNNNNNNNNNNNNNNNNNNNNNNNNNNNNNNNNNNNNNNNNNNNNNNNNNNNNNNNNNNNNNNNNNNNNNNNNNNNNNNNNNNNNNNNNNNNNNNNNNNNNNNNNNNNNNNNNNNNNNNNNNNNNNNNNNNNNNNNNNNNNNNNNNNNGCUUGAGAAGCGGUCCGGGUACGCAUCCUAACCUUUCUUUUAUGGCAAUUUGAUCUUGUUUAGCAUGCAAAUUUUUUGAAAUCACCUAGCCUACUUAGGUAUCCAUAAUUAACCGAUUAAUUGCCAUAUUCCCCUUAACUUAAUUAGUAGAGACCUCUUUAGGGCUUAGAGGGGUGCUACCUCCUAGAGGUACCUUCCCAAUAAGUAACCUGAUCCCCGGACCAAGACUUGGGUUUUCAAAGACACGCUUUUCCAAAAAUUAUGGAGUCAUUUUUUUUAGGGUUUUAUUUCUUGUUUUAUUUUCCCUUCAAAAAUAAAAAUAAAAUAAGUGGCGACUCUAACUUUUUUUCAAAAAAUCAAAUUUUCACAAAUAAAUAAGAAGCGAGUCUCGCCGAUCGAGUGGGGACGCACAUGAAAAAUGCGGGUCCACAAAUUGGUGACUCCACUGGGGAUUUUGAGGAUCAAGCUUGAACACUAGUUAGGAAAAUGUGGCGUUUAAUUGGUCGAUUAGUGGGUACCUCUUUUUUUAGGCAAGGUGAUUCGAUUUGCUCGCUUGUUUGGUUUGCUAUCUUAACAUGUUUGAUUGCCUUGGAUGAUCACUUAACUGUUUGCUCACUUUAGCAUGAUUCACUCUCACAUAUGUUAGAUAGGACUUUGUUUGUUUGAUAUUUAUCUGCUUAGCAUGACUGUUUGUUGUGUUUGCCUUGGAUGAUCACUUGAUUGUUUUGCUCACUUUAGCAUGAUUCACUCUCACAUAUGCUAGAUAGGACUUUGAUUGUUUGAUAUUUAUCUGCUUCACAUGACUGCUUGUUGCAUGACAACCCUUGCUCUUGCAUGUUCGUAUGAUUGCUUGUCUUCAUUCACUAUCUCACUUUAGACCUUAGGUUUUUCGGAUGCACCCACAUCCUUCAUUGUGCACUUUAGAUUAUCCUUGAGUGUUGAGAGAUGGGAGAGCCUUCACCAUUAAGAAACCCCCUGGGAACGCGAGGAAGUGCAUGUGUGGAGGUGAUGACCACCUUGCAUGGAAGCACCCCGUCUUCUUGGAGGCGUGCAGAGGGUUGCGUACCGCCGGAGGGUACGAUCGCUUCUGCUAGGGAUCCUUUGACCCGCCCAUUUUAUCUUAUAGAGCCACCUUAACCUUGUAGGUUAGCCUAGACCCAAUUAAGAUUUCAUUCCUACACGUGGGUGCAUCUGUGGACCUUCAGAGCUGCCUUGGUCACAAUUGGAAUUGGUUAUCCCUUCCUUAGUCUCCUUUUGGUGUAAUCAGAAGAGGGUAUCAGAUUGAGUAUAUUUGGGCUUUGCUUCUACGCCUUUGAUUCAUACAGAGUCACCUUCGAGUUACACCUUAUUCAGUGUUUCCAUAUUUGUAGGAGGGUUUACCGUGACCGAUCUGGAUUCACCUUUGUGGAUUAGAGUUGGAGGUAGAUUGAGCAGAGUAUCAGACCAGUCAGAUCAGAGAUCAGAUCAGAGGGAUAUGGACUCACAGGUAGUUACCGUUGACCAGUUUGCCGCAGCCAUGGCUUCUAUCUAGGAGGCUAUAGCUAACCUUGGUCAGAGGAUAGAUGGACAGCAGACCCAGCAGGUCCCAGUUCAGGAGAGUACCCAGUUCGAUACCAUAGUACCGCCACCACCUCUGCCUAGUCAGUCAGUACCACAGGCUAUACCUUUCACUCUGCAUAGUCAGAUCGAGGUUGCCCCGCCUCCUAUCACAUCGCCUAUCCCGGCUUCAGAGGACCCACAUGCUCGUAUGGAUAAACUUGAGCAGAAGUUGAGACAGAUGAGGACUUCAGAAGGAGCUAUUACUUGGGAGGAUUUUGAUGGAGCACCAGUGGCCAUUCUACCGGCCAAAUUCAGGAUGCUUGAGAUUGAGAGAUACACAGGCAUAGGAUGUCCUCGCAUCCAUUUGAGACUCUAUAGUACUGCUAUGAGGGCCCAUGGACUGGAUGAUGCCCAGAUGGUUAUGCUCUUUCCUAUGUCAUUGAGUGGUGCUGCACAGCGUUGGUUCGCUUCAUUGAAGGUAUCACGCCGUAGGACUUGGGAUGACUUAGCCCAGGAGUUUUUGAGACAGUUUGCAUUUAACACUGUCAUUGAUGUUUCGAGGAGAGAGUUGGAGGCUUUGAGACAGAGGCCGGAGGAGUCAGUCACUUCAUUUAUCUCCCGCUGGAGGGAGAAGAUUUCACAGAUUAUAGACCGUCCUUCAGAUAGAGAUCAGAUUAGCAUGAUCAUGAGGAGCUUGCAGCCUAGAUUUGCUAGACACUUGAUGGGAUUUCCCCAUACGGAUUUUGGAUCUUUGGUACAGGCUUUGUACGGUAUAGAGGAGGGCAUUGCUAGAGGAUUAUGGUCUGAGUCUUCCCCUACUGAUUCUAAGGGGAAGAGGCCUUCAGGAGGACAGAGAUCAGGAGAUGUUGGUGCUAUCAGUUCAGCAGGGAUGAGACCUUCUAGACACUAUCAGACAGUUGGGCAGACUCCUGGGUAAUACUAUCCACCUUCACCUCAUGCGCAUUACAGACCACCCGCUCCUUCCAGACCCAUGACUCCUACCUAUCUACAUCCAGUCUCACAGCCUGUUUUCGCUGCACACGUCGUAGAGAACUCCUGCCCCAUAUAUUCGACCCCGAGCUCCACAGACCACUACUUAUGUGCAGAGGCCACCACGUCAGUUUGCUCAGUUGGGUAUGCCUUUGAGUCGAGCUUUUCAAAAGCUCACAGAGGGUGGAUUACUGAUUCCAUUAGCAUCCAGGCCUUUACCCCAACCCAUACCACCUCGCUUCAGGAUGGACUUACAUUGUUCCUACCAUCAAGGACCAGGGCAUGACACGGACCAUUGCACUGCUUUGAGACAUGCUAUUCAGGACUUGAUAGACCAGGGUUUGGUCAACUUGGGGCAGCCAAGUGUGACUACGAACCCUCUUCCUGCUCAUUCUACACACGCAGUGCAUCCAUCUUUAGGAGAUAUUCGUCACAUGGACCUUAUAGAGGAUGACAGUAUACACAUGUUGAGUUGGGAUGAUGAAUUACCUGAGCCGAUUGUUCUGCAUGACAGCUAUGAGAUUGAUGGGGUUUCAUUGGUCCCUCAGGCUCCUGCACCAUUCAGUUUGAUCCCGGACGAGGCACUAUUCCAGUUGACUCAUCCUACACCCUUAGUUAUCGGAUGUCAGGAUACUUUUGUCCCAUUCACUUUAUGGCCAGAGGAUGAUGAUUCAGCAGGGAGAGAGAUACAGAUUGUGACUCGCAGUGGGAGGAUAGCUCAGCCACCACCACCAGCAGUUAGACCAUUUGAGGGUACAGCCUCUCAUGAGGAGGUUAGGAGAGAGGAUGAUGAGGUUUUGAGGCAGCUACAGAGCACUCAGGCUCGCAUUUCCAUCUGGAGUUUAUUAGCAUCAUCCAGUACUCAUAGAGAUGCUUUGAUUCGAGCCUUGAGUCAGAUCAGAGUAGAGACUACCACCACUCCAGAGGGAUUGAUUCAUAUGAUGACGGUUGGCAGGGCCACUUGCAUUGUAUUUUCAGAUGAUGACUUGCCACUUGAUGGUUUAGACCACGUGCGCCCUCUAUAUAUCACAGUUGGAUGUUCAGGCCGUAGAGUCCCGUCUGUCCUACUGGACAACGGCUCAGCCCUGAAUGUUUGCCCUUUAGCCACUGCUAUAGCCCUUGGUUUCGCACUUUCAGAUUUUGGUCCUUCUACUUAGACAGUCAGAGCGUAUGAUAGCACCAAGAGGGAGGUUAUGGGUACCUUGAUGAUCGAUUUGCCGAUUGCUCCAGCCACAUUUUUUCACUUUUGUUCCAAGUUUUGAGGAUUCCUGCAUCCUUUANNNNNNNNNNNNNNNNNNNNNNNNNNNNNNNNNNNNNNNNNNNNNNNNNNNNNNNNNNNNNNNNNNNNNNNNNNNNNNNNNNNNNNNNNNNNNNNNNNNNAGUUUAUUCAUGAUGGGCAGGUCAUCACAGUGCGUUUUGAUGAGAUACAGACUCUCGAGAUUGAGGAUUUUUGUAGAAACUUUGUGGCUAUGUCAUUUGAUCAGCACAGUAGCACAGUGGUCCUUGAUAUGAUGAGGGGUAUAACCUUUCUACCUGGCAUGGGGUUAGGACGACGUCAGCAGGGACCGAGCGAGUUCAUAGCUGCCAUUGACCAUGAUACGACAUUUGGACUUGGAUUCAUCCCUACUGAGGCCGAUUACCGUCACAUGGCGCGGCUGCGCAAGGAGAGGGUGAGAGCCCGUUUAUCCCACACACCAUUUGAUUAUCCUAUUCGACCCUAUAGGAUGAGUUUGGCUGACUACUUUGUCAAAUGAUCAGAGACUCGACCUCGUCUAGAGGAGAUUGAUAGUGUGGUUCAUACAGAUAGAGAGACCGAGCUUCAGCAUCUAUUUCACCAGCUACAGUUGAGUGAUGGGGCUCCCAACACUUCUUUCCCUGUGGCGAUUACUCCUACAUCUCUAGAUCGAGCUAGCAUGUUGUCUCUAUGCUUUCCAGAGGAGAUCAUGAGUGAUGGGGUGAUUCUUGAUCCUACUGAGGUGAUUGAUGGAGUUGUUCCCCAUGAUGAGUACCGUGAUGAGAUGGACAUGAUGACCAUGAGCCAGAUUGCCGGCAUUGUUCAGCUUCAGCCUGUUUCGGCAUUUGAUAUGUUUGGGGUAUCUACCAUUGAGGUUUUUGAGGGGACUCAGACUCUUCCUGUUCCAGAGCUUCCAGAGGAUGAUAGUAGUUUGUUUGAGGGCAUUGUUAGCCCAGUUGAGGGAGCGUCCGACCUUGUGGACCCACCUCUUUCUUUUGAUGUUUUAUCGGGAUUUGUCUCCCGCUCUGACGAUGUUUCUGUUGCUUCAUUUAUGGAUUUGAGCAUUUUUGAGUAUUCACCUGUCUCUUGUGAUAGUAUCUCUAUGUCUGCACCCCACUCACCCAUUACACAGAUAUUUGAUAUAGAUGAUGAGAUUGCACAGCCCAAUUCGGAUAGGGACUCUUUUGAUCAUGACUCUGGUCCCAUAGAUGAGAGAGUUUCACCUGCUGCAGGGGACGUUGAGACUGUUGAUUUUGGCACAGAGGAUCAGCCUAGAGAGCUGAAGAUUGGUUCACCCCUAUCUACAGAUGAGAGAGAUAGACUCAUCCAUUUACUCAGGUCAUACUUGGAUGUCUUUGCAUGGUCUUAUGAGGACAUGCCAGGUCUUGAUCCCUUUAUAGUCUAACACCAUUUACCUACCCUACCACAUGCUAGACCAGUUAAGCAAAAAUUGAGACGGUUGCAUCCACGUUGGAGUCUACAGGUAAAAGAGGAGAUUCAGAAACAACUCAGUGUUGGGUUCAUAUCAGUAGUUGAGUAUCCAGAGUGAUUGGCUAAUGUCGUCCCUGUUCCUAAAAAGGAUGGCAAAGUUAGGGUUUGUGUUGACUUCAGAGAUCUCAAUAAAGCCAGCCCUAAAGAUGACUUUCCCCUUCCACACAUUGAUUUGUUGGUUGAUGGCACCGCAGGCCAUUCGAUGUUGUCUUUCAUGGAUGGGUUUUCAGGGUAUAAUCAGAUUUUGAUGGCUCCAGAGGAUAUGGAGAAGACAGCCUUUAUUACUGAGUGGGGUACCUACUGUUACAGAGUUAUGCCAUUUGGGUUGAAGAACGCAGGAGCCACUUAUCAGAGAGCCGCUACCACUUUGUUUCAUGACAUGAUGCAUAGGGAUGUCGAGGCUUACGUGGAUGAUAUGAUUGUGAAAUCCCGAGGUAGAGCAAAUCACCUAGAUGCUUUAGAGAGAUUCUUUGAGAGGAUCCGGAAGUUUAGAUUGAGGUUGAAUCCCAAGAAGUGUACCUUUGGAGUGACUUCUGGGAAGUUAUUGGGACAUAUAGUCAGUGAGCGGGGCAUAGAGGUCGACCCAGAUAAAAUCAAAGCCAUACUUGACAUGCCUGCACCAAAGACUAAGAAAGAGAUUAGAGGUUUUCUGGGCAGAUUACAGUACAUUAGUCGGUUCAUAACCAGAUUGACAGACAUAUGUGAGCCUAUCUUUCGUCUUUUGAGGAAGAACCAACCAACAGUUUGGAAUGAUGACUGUCAGUUUGCAUUUGAGAAGAUCAAGGAGUAUUUGCUUUCUCCUCCUGUUUUAGUGCCUCCUACGCCAGGACGUCCACUUCUUCUAUAUUUGUCAGUUUCAGACAUGGCAUUGGGAUGUAUGUUAGCUCAGAUUGAUGACUUAGGAAAGGAGCGAGCUAUUUACUACCUAAGAGGAUGUUGGAGUAUGAGAUGAAAUAUGUUAUGAUUGAGCGCCUAUGCUUAGCACUAGUUUGGGCUACCAGGAGAUUGAGGCAUUACAUGACGGAGUACUCAGUACAUUUGAUAUCCCGCCUGGACCCGUUGAGAUACUUGUUUGAUAGACCUGCAUUGACUGGUAGAUUGAUGAGAUGGCUUGUACUUUUGACAGAGUUCGAUAUUCAGUAUGUUUCUCAGAAGUCUAUUAAGGGAAGUAUUGUUGCCGAUCACUUAGCCUCACUACCGACAUCUGAGGACAGACCAGUUGAUGAUGAUUUUCCAGAUGAGGAGUUUGUUGCUAUGACCAGCUUAUCGGGAUGGUGCAUGUACUUCGAUGAUGCAGCCAAUCAGUCAAGGUAUGGGAUUGGUGUUCUAUUGGUAUCCCCUCAGGGUGAUCACAUUCCGAGGUCCGUUCGUUUGGCAUUCUCUGAUCGACAUCCUGCCACGAAUAACAUAGUUGAGUAUGAGACUUGUAUCCUUGGUUUAGAGACUGCAUUGGAGCUUAACAUUAGACAGAUGGAGGUGUUUGGUGACUCCAAUCUGGUACUCAGGCAGAUUCAAGGGGAUUGGAAGACUAGGGACGUGAAGCUUAGGCCAUAUCAUGCUUAUUUAGAGUUGUUGGUUGCGAGAUUUGACGACUUGAGAUAUGUUCAUCUGCCUAGAGCGCAGAACCGAUUUGCUGACGCCUUAGCUACUUUAGCUUCCUCCGUGGACAUUCCGAUUGAUGUAGUCAUACGUCCAUUACUGAUUGAGUCCAGGUCUGCACCCGCCUAUUGUUGUCUGAUUGGAGAGACAGAGGUCCAGGAUGACCUACCUUGGUAUCAUGACAUUUAUCAGUUCCUUAGAUCUGGCACAUACCCUGAGGUAGCCACUACCAAGGAUCGGAGAGCACUGAGGCAUUUGACUACUAGAUUUGUGAUUUGCGGAGAUACCUUGUACAGACGAUCAGCUGAUGGUAUGCUUCUGUUGUGUUUAGAUCGAGCCUCUGCAGAUCGAGUGAUGAGAGAGGUUCAUUCAGGAGUUUGUGGUCCGCAUAUGGGAGGACACAUGCUAGCUCGUAAGAUUAUGAGGACGGGUUACUUCUGGUUGACUAUGGAGACAGAUUGUUGUCAGUUUGUCCAGAAAUGCCCAGAGUGUCAGAUUCAUGGUGAUCUCAUACAUGCACCACCAUCAGAGUUACACGCCUUGACUUCGCCAUGGCCAUUUUCAGUAUGGGGUAUUGAUAUUAUUGGGAAGGUUUCACCAAAAUCUUCCAGUGGUCAUGAGUUCAUCCUAGUUGCCAUAGACUAUUUCACCAAGUGGGUGGAAGCCGCAUCAUAUGCGAGGUUGACAUCUGUUAGGGUUGCCAGUUUUAUCAGAUCACACAUCAUUUGCCGCUAUGGGGUUCCUCAUGAGUUGAUUUCUGACAGAGGGGCGCACUUCCGAGCUGAGGUAGACACUUUGUUGCAGGAGUAUGGCAUCCGACAUCAUAGAUCUUCAGCAUAUAGGCCACAGACCAAUGGGGCAGUAGAGGCUGCAAACAAGAAUAUUAAGAGGAUUUUGAGGAAGAUGGUUGAGACCUCUCGAGAUUGGUUAGAAAAGCUUCCUUUUGCAUUGUGGGCAUACCGCACCUCUUUUCGCACUUCUACAGGAGCUACGCCUUACUCCCUAGUGUAUGGUAUGGAGGCUGUUUUGCCAGUCGAGACAGAGAUGGGCUCAUUGAGAGUAGCCCUUGAGCAGCAGAUUUCUGAGACAGAGUGGGCUCAGGCUCGAUUUGAUCAGCUUAACCUUUUAGAUGAGAGGAGAUUGAGAGCAGCAGAUCAUGUUCAGGCCUAUCAGAGAAAGAUGGCUCGUGCCUUCAAGAAACGAGUCAAGCCUAGACCAUUUCAAAAAGAGGACUUAGUUUUGAGGAUUCUCAGAGGUUUGAUUGGAGACCCUAGAGAAAAGUUUAGACCUAGUUGGAGUGGGCCUUAUGUUAUCCGGGAGUUGACUCCAGAAGGGGCUGCAUGGUUGACUGACUUAGAUGGAAACCAAUUUUCAGAGCCUACCAAUGUAGAUCAGCUAAAAAAGUAUUAUGUUUGAGACCGUGGUCGCAGGAUGCGUGGCCAUCAUUUCAGUUAGCCUCAUACUUUAUCACCUCUAUAUAUUAGACCGUUGCUAGCCCAUUAAGCUUCGCGUGGUAUGUUAUAGCCAUAUUUCUUUCUUGUAGCCUUGAUUACCAUUUCUAUACUCGGGUUGGGGCUCUUUGAUGUAUAUGCAUGCUUUGCUAGGAAAGUCUCAUGAGUUUUAGACUUAUAGGUCUAUCUUCUCAUUUUGUUACCAUCUUCUUGUCGCUUCAUUUGUUCUAUUUUACUAUCAUCACAUUUUCAUUGUCUCUCUUGUGUUUAUCAUUAUUUGUUUCAUCUUAUCUCUUCUAUUUCUUGGGUUGAUGAUUCUUCACAUCUUGGUGCAAAAGAGGGCAAUCAUAUCACUCCAUCCAUCCCCUCAUUUGGCAUUGAUUCAGAGAUUUUAGUUUGAGAGGUUCUCUCAUGGGUUGGGGUUCAUGUAUUCAUCAGUGGUUUGAGAGAGUUUGUUCAUUCCUUGUAUCUUUUCCAUUGGAGUUCGAUUUAUUGAUGAUCAAAGCAUGCGCAAAAAAAAAAAAAAAAAAAAAAAAAUCAUAAUAAAAAAAAAAUCAAAAAAAAAAAGAAGAAAAAAAGAAAAGAAAAAAAAAGCGCAAGGAUAUGCUCAUGUAUGGUAUCUCAUUCCAUUGGGUAUUUACGCCACCUUUUGAGGUUCAUUUAUUGGGUAUAUUUGUCAUUAUGGGUUUUUGUGAGUUUUUAUGAGUUUUUUCAGUCCUUAAGCCACUCCUAUUAUGCAUUUGGAGUGUCGAGGGUUCAUAUGAGAGUUCUAUGAGAUCCUAUGCUUCUUAGAUCAUGAUUGAUAUAUUUUAGGUAUGAGAGAUGAGUGACCUUUUUACUAGGGUCUCCGGAUCAUUGUCUUAUACCCACCAUUCCAUCAUUGGUGAUAUGACUUUCCUUUAUUGUACUAACAUGGGUUGAUCAUCACUCAUUCCACUUUCCCAUUGUUUUCUUUUGUAUCCCAUUACCUCUUUCCAGAUCUUUGUUCCACCUUUUAUUCAUUCCUUACAUAUUGAUACCCAUUACUGAUUUGAUACCUUCUUGACAUCAUUCACAUAUUUCAUUGAUGGCUUGACCAUUCAUCCUUUCUCUCAUUUCGUUAUCGACAUUCCCUUUGGUUACUUCUAAGUCCAUGACUCAUGAGAUUUUUCUAUGCAUUACAUCUUGUGCACGAGGGUACGGGUUUGAUCAUUGGGUAUUUGAGCCUAGUUUCCCUUCAUUUCUUUCACCCUAUCACCUUGGCCUACGUUACGUCCCGUGUCUUAAGACCACCUUGAGGCCAUGAGAUCAGACAUUAUCUUUGACAGUCUUCACUUGGACAGACUUUUGUAGAUUGGUUGAAGUAUGGUCGUUACUAUGUUCUCUUUUAUGGAAGAUACUUUUGGAAGUAUUUGGUCUCUCUCUUGCUUGGCAUAUUGAUGUUUGAUGGAUUUUUGGGUUUGGAGACAGUUCAUUGAGGAUAUUAGAUUCAUCCUUUGGUUGUACAUCAGAUAUCCAUACUAGGGCAUAUUCCCCUUUCAUUUGGUUGAGAUGAGCCCCUAGUGGAGCACUUUCUUUGAGUCUGGGUAUUUUCACCGAUCAGAGAUCCCUAGUGAGGUAUGUUGAGACUAUAUCAGUUCUAGUGGAGCAUCGUUGAGCCCCUAGUGAUUCCAUUCCCGGAAUACUUCUGAGAUAGACUAGUGGAUUAUUACUGAGUUGGAGGCAGUUUUCAGUGCAGUGUAUAGACCAGGCAUACUGGGGCAUAUUUCCCCAUUUUGAGGUUACCAGAUUCCUAUCAGAUUCAGUCAGGGAUUCAUCAGAGACAUGUUUCUACUUUUGAGAUUACCACAUUCCUCAUCAUUUUGGCUAUUCAUUUGAGAUUAGAUUUAGAGUGUCUCCCUUGAGGCAUUGGUCGAUACAUCAUUCUGACUUCUUAGCGGAUUAUUGUUGAGCUGAGGAUAGUUGAUUGAUGAUUUCGGAUUCAUCCUUUGGUUAUGCAUCAUAUAUUCACACUGGGGCAUAUUCUCCCCUUCCUCCGAGAUUCUUAUCUGUUAUUGUAUACGGUACGAGGAUGGAUGAUCAUUGUUAGUUUGUUUACCUCACGACUUCGACAUUAGAUUAUCCACACUGAGGCAUAUUCCACUCUCCUUGAUGAGAUUGUGUUUGGACAGCGAUACGAAGAUGGAUGAUCAUUGUUAGUUUGUUUGCCUCACGACUUCGACAUCCGAUAUCCAUACUGGGGCAUAUUCCCCUCUCCAUUGCGAGAUUUAUUUGGGCAGUGAUAUGAGGAUGGAUGACUGGUGUCGGUUGUUUAGCUUAUGACUUUGACGUUAGAUCUUAUACUGGGGCAUAUUUCCCCCAUUUUCUUUGAGUAUCCUUGAGAUUGAGACAGUGGCCAGCUUGGUUUUAGAUUGAGCACUAGCCCAGAGCUUCCGACGAUCGACUGUAUCAGGGCCUCCCUACAUGGAUUUGUUGAGAUAGAGACGGAUCGCAUCAGGUUUCACCCGAGGAGUGUGGGUGGAUCCUUUAGCCAGAUGUUCAUGAGACAGAUUUGUUUUCGUCAUUGUUACCUUGUAGAUUGGAUUAUCCAGAUGAGCAGUAUUUUACACACUUUGAGGUUUACUUUUAGAUGAGCCAUGAUAUACACUCUUUGAGAUUUACCUUUUGAGAUUCAUCGACAGAGCAGCUUUUCAGACAUAGAGGGUUCCUUUCAGUUUAGACUUUUCAGAGGUUUGUCGCGAUGCAUNNNNNNNNNNNNNNNNNNNNNNNNNNNNNNNNNNNNNNNNNNNNNNNNNNNNNNNNNNNNNNNNNNNNNNNNNNNNNNNNNNNNNNNNNNNNNNNNNNNNUGUUAUACUUCUAUACUAACUCUGAUGUUUUAUGAUAGCGCUUGAGAAGCGGUCCGGGUACGCAUCCUAACCUUUCUUUUAUGGCAAUUUGAUCUUGUUUAGCAUGCAAAUUUUUUGAAAUCACCUAGCCUACUUAGGUAUCCAUAAUUAACCGAUUAAUUGUCAUAUUCCCCUUAACUUAAUUAGUAGAGACCUCUUUAGGGCUUAGAGGGGUGCUACCUCCUAGAGGUACCUUCCCAAUAAGUAACCUGAUCCCCGGACCAAGACUUAGGUUUUCAAAGACACGCUUUUCCAAAAAUUAUGGAGUCAUUUUUUUUAGGGUUUUAUUUCUUGUUUUAUUUUCCCUUCAAAAAUAAAAAUAAAAUAAGUGGCGACUCCAACUUUUUUUCAAAAAAUCAAAUUUUCACAAAUAAAUAAAAAGCGAGUCUCGCCGAUCGAGUGGGGACGCACGUGAAAAAUGCGGGUCCACAACUAUCUCAAGAGACAGACGAAUACUUAAAAAUGCUCAAAUCCAUAAAUGUAGCAAUAGAAACAUCGUCAGAGCGGGAGACAAAUCCCGAUAAAACAUCAAAAGAAAUAGGUGGGCCCACAAGGUCGGACGCUCCCUCAAUUGGGCUAACAAUGCCCUCAAACAAAUUACUAUCAUCCUUUAGAAGAUCUAGAACGGGAAGAGUCCGAGUCCCCUCAAGAACCUCAAUGGUAGACACCCUAAACAUAUCAAAUGCUGAAACAGGCUGAAGCUGAACAAUGCUAGUAAUCUGGCUCAUGGUCAUCAUGUCUAUCUCAUCUCGGUACUCAACAUGGGAAACAACUCCAUCAAUCAUCUCAGUAGAAUCAACAAUCACUCCAUCAUCAGUGAUCUCCUCUGGAAAGCAUAGAGACAACAUGCUAGCUCGAUCUAGAGACGUGGGAGUAAUCGUCAUAGGGAAAGAAGUGUCGGGAGCCCCAUCACUCAAUUGUAGCUGGUGAAACAAAUGCUGAAGAUCGGUCUCUCUAUCUGUAUGAAUCACACUAUCGAUCUCCUUUAGAUGAGGUCGAGUCUCUGAUCCUUUGACAAAGUAGUUAGCCAAACUUAUCUGAUAAGGUCGAACAGGAUAAUCAAAUGGUGUGUGGGAUAAACGGGCUCUCACCCUUUCCUUGCGCAGCUGUGCCAUGUAACGGUAAUCGGCCUCAGUGGGAAUGAAUCCAAGUCCAAAUGUCGUAUCAUGGUCAAUGGCAGCUAUGAACUCGCUCGGUCCCUGCUGAUGUCAUCCUAACCCCAUGCCAGGUAGAAAGGUCAUACCCCUCAUCAUAUCAAGGACCAUUGUGCUGCUAUGUUGAUUAAAAGACAUAACUACAAAAUCUCUGCAAAAAUCCUUAAUCUCGAGAGUCUGUAUCUCAUCAAAAGUAAACCCAGUCAGAAGUGGGUCGUCCUCAUUGUGACUGAUCUGAAGUACUGUCUCAGAAACGACAAAUAUAUCCCUGGUAGACCGCAUUGUGAUGACUUGCCCAUCAUGAAUGAACUUCACCUUCUGAUGAAGGGAAGAAGGAAUAGCUCCAACUAUAUGAAUCCAUGGUCGGCCUAGUAGCAGGUUAAAGGAUGUGGGAAUCCUCAAAACUUGGAACAAAGUGGAGAAUGUGGCUGAACCAAUCUGCAAAUCAAUCAUCAAGGUACCCAUAACCUCCCUCUUGGUGCUAUCAUACGCCCUGACUGUUUGAGUAGAAGGACCAAAAUCUAAAUGCGCGAAACCAAGGGCUAUAGCAGUGGCUAAAGAGCAAACAUUCAGGGCUGAGCCGUUGUCCAAUAGGACAGACGGGACUCUAUGGCUUGAACAUCCAACUGUGAUGUAUAGAGGGCGCACGUGGUCUAAACCAUUAGGUGGCAAGUCAUCAUCUGAAAACACAAUGCAAGUGGCCCUGCCGGCCGUCAUCAUAUGAAUCAAUCUCUCGGGAGUGGUGGUAGUCUCUACUCUGAUCUGACUCAAGGCUCGAAUCAAAGCAUCUCUAUGAGUACUGGAUGAUGCUAAUAAAAUCUAGAUGGAAAUGCGAGCCUGAGUGCUCUGUAACUGUCUCAAAACCUCAUCAUCCUCUCUCCUAACCUCCUCAUGAGAGGCUGCACCCUCAAAUGGUCUGACUGCUAGUGGUGGUGGUUGAGCUAUCCUCCUAGUACGAGUCACAAUCUGUACCUCUCUCCCCUCUGAAUCAUCAUCCUCUGGCCAUGAAGUGAAUGAGACAAAAGCAUCCUGACAUCCAAUAACUAAGGGUGUAGGAUGAGUCAACUGGAAUGGUGCCUCAUCUGGAAUCAAACUGAAUGGUGCAGAAUUCUGAGGGACCAAUGAAACCCCAUCAAUCUCAUAACUAUCAUGCAAAACAAUCGGCUCGGGUAAUCCAUCAUCCCAACUCAACAUGUGUAUACUAUCAUCCUCUAUAAGGUCCAUGUGAUGAAUAUCUCCUGAAGAUGGAGACAUUGCGUGUGUAGAAUGAGCAAGAAGAGGGUUCAUAGUCACACUUGGCUGCCCCAAGUUGACCAAACCCUGGUCUAUCAAGUCCUAAAUAGCAUGUCUCAAAGUAGUGCAAUGGUCCGUGUCAUGCCCUGGUCCUUGAUGGUAGGAACAAUGUAAGUCCAUCCUAAAGCGAGGUGGUAUAGGCUGGGGUAAAGGCCUGGAUGCUAAUGGAAUCAAUAAUCCACCCUCUGUGAGCUUCUGAAAAGCUCGACUCAAAGGCAUACCCAACUGAGCAAACUGACAUGGUGGCCUCUGCACAUAAGUAGUGGUCUCUGGAGCUCGGGGUCGAGUAUAUGGGGCAGGAUGCCUCUCUGUGACAUGUGCAACAAAAACAGGCUAUGAGACUAGAUGUAGAUAGGUAGGAGUCAUAGGUCUGGAAGGAGCAGGCGGCCUGUAAUGCGCAUGAGGUAAGGGUUGAUAGUAGAACCCAGGAGUCUGCCCAAUUGUCUGAUAGCGUCUAGGAGGCCUCAUCCCUACUGAACUGAUAACACCAACAUCUCCUGAUCUCUGUCCUCCUAAAGGCUUCUUCCCCUUAGAAUCAGUAGGGGAAGACUCGGACAAUAAUCCUCUAGCAAUGCCCUCCUCUAUACCAUACAAAGCCUGUACCAAAGAUCCAAAAUCCGUAUGAGGAAAUCCCAUCAAGUGUUUAGCGAAUCUAGGCUGUAAGCUCCUUAUGAUCAUGCUAAUCUGAUCUCUCUCUGAAGGACGGUCUAUAAUAUGUGAAAUCUUCUCCCUCCAGCGGGAGAUAAAUGAAGUAACUGACUCCUCUGGCCUCUGUCUCAAAGCUUCCAACUCUCUCCUCGAAACAUCAAUGACAGUGUUAAAUGCAAACUGUCUCAAAAACUCCUGGGUUAAGUCAUCCCAAGUCCUACGGCGUGAUACCUCUAAUGAAGUGAACCAACGCUGUGCAACACCACUCAAUGACAUAGGGAAAAGCAUAACCAUCUGGGCCUCAUCCAGUCCAUGGGCCCUCAUAACCGUACUAUAGAGUCUCAAAUGAAUGCGAGGACAACCUAUGCCAGUGUAUCUCUCAAUCUCAAGUCAGCUCUCUAUGAUAUGUACCCCACCAUUUCCAAAUGACAAUAUUGUCCUUGGAUGACCAUGCUCCACUAACAUAGUCUGCCCAAGCUUGAACCUCUUACUUCCAAUUGGAAACCACCUAACUUUGAUGAAAGUAAAACAAUAUGUAGUUGCUUCAUUAAGAUUCAUUCAUUGGAUAUGGAUAGUUGGGGUCCCCUGAAAGUGAACAUCAGUUAGUUUUCUUUAUGAUAUCUGUUAUGGAAGAGCAUUAGAGACAUUGCAUUAAGUUCGAAGAGUAAGUUCUAUAAAUGCAUAUUUUGUGUGCCCUUCUGCUUUCAGGCCCCAUGGAUGUUGCUUUCUUCUGCGUCAGAUGCUUUUGUUGUUUUGUGUUCCCUCAUUAGUUUAUUAGUGGAGCAAACUUGGGACACAAGCAAAAAUGAAAAAUAUAAAAAGGAGAGGAAAAGGAGAAGCUAUGUGAAGAUGGGGAGGUGGAGGGGGUACUGGAUGUGCUUCAAGAGCUCGUUUAUCAUCCCAACAAAGGUAUGAUUGAAGUUCGUAGAAAUUAGUAAUUCAAAACGAUUCAGUUAACAUAUGGGCUCACUUAUGGAAGUGUUAAUAUAAAUUGAUGGACAAUCUAAAUGCUAGAAAUUAACAUUUUUUUUUCUCUUUUAUCUAUUUUUCCUCUGUUCUUUGUUAUUUGUUUCCCAUGCCAUGUAUGAAGAAUGGAAUUAUUUCUAGUUCCAUAUGGUUUUCAAAUACCUUACUAUCCACCUCACACACAUGGUGGUAAUGGCAGGGAAUGGAUAUGGUCUGGUUGGUCUUUACAAGGACAUAGAGUCCAAUGGAGGAUAUGCAGAUAUUCAAGUGAUGUGGGAGAUGAUUCAUUCUUCUCAUCCUCCUAAUGUUCACACCAUCAAAAGGAGCAAGAGGGUUUCUCGGAGAUUCUGUUUUAUGCCAAGUUGAAUUUUCACAUUUUCUCAAAGGAUUGGUCUUAGAUGCCUUUUAUACACUUCUUUCAGUGUCCCCUUUUGCAUUUAAAUAAAAGAGCUAGUUCUGUUUCUGCAGAUAGAAAAUGCCAGAGCAGCACCACCUCCUUUUGUCAUGCAUAUACCAGCAGCUGAGCAUAUAGAUUAUAGUUUGCUCUGAAAAGUCUCUACUUCGAAACACUUCUGUAUAUAGUUAAUGACUUCUCUGUUGAUUCGUAGGAUUUAGCAAGCCAUGGGUCUUGGGAGAUCUCCCAAAUAAAAAAUCAACUAUGUAAGAUAAUUCAGAACUAUUAUCUUCUAAUCAAAUUUGGCAUUUAUAAAAAUAGUUGAUAAAAUUCAUGGGCAAAUAGGAGUAGGUGAAAGCAAUGCAACUAACAGCUUUAUUUUAUACUAAUAUUUUUCAUCUAUUAAUGACAACAAUCAUUCUAUUCUCUCUGUAUUCAAGAACAUUCUCUCCUUUGUCAAAAGAGCAAUGCAUAUUUCUGCAUAUGACAAUACUGUAAAUAACUCCAUAUGUGAAGUGCCACACUGCUGAAAGCCACUCCUGAAAUCUAAGACUGACCAAGAAAGAGAACUGACACUAUGAGGCUUCAUCAUGCUGCACCACCCUCUUCGAGGAGCAUUUGAUCGAAGUGCCACACUCCUGCAGGCCAACCAAUUAAAAAAAAAAGAUCUAAAUGCCAACAAAUGGAAGCGGAUGGAUUCAUUGGUUACAAGCUUAUAUGAAAAGAAGACAGUGGCACUUGCUCAAAGAAAAGAGAAAUGACAAAGAGUGAAUUUAAAAUUUGAUUCGUACCAUGUCCCUUUCCAACCCUUCUCAGUUGGGCAACAUAUUCUGAGAUCUUCUUGAUGGCUUCAACCUACAAAAGGAAAAAAUCUAGUCACAUUUUGAAGCCAAAGAACACUUUGUUUUUUCUUCCUUUAUUCAUGACAGACAUUAUGUGUUGACAAUCUUCUCCAAAUUGUUGUAUGGUUGAAUACAUGAAAAGAACUAUCAUGUGACAAUCUGUCAAAAUGUGUUCUCUUGCAAAUACAUUUUUGGCUGGACACAUGGAAAAAUGAAUUUUCUUCUAUUUGGCAUGUUUUCUGUCAUCCUUAGGCUAUGGGGAAGUAAACCCUUUUUUACCAUAACUUGUAUUAAGAGAAAAAAAAAACACCAAGAAGCACGCUUUUCACCAUUUUUCAUAUAAUACAAAAAUGACUCUUUUUAAGUUCUGAUGGCAAAAACAUUAAACUCUUAGGUUUACCUGCUCUGUCAAAAACCCGCUCUCAAUAAAAUCUGUCAACUGGGGAUCAUUGUUUCGAUCUGCCACCUGAUAUUCAUCAAGAACAGAGCAUAUCUUAAAAGAGAUCCAUUUGUCCAAGUCACAAUUAUAGGUUGCAGAUUCAAGAACCAUGAUGAGCUAUAACAACCAGGUGAUUGAUUUAGACACCACCCAUGCUACCCCAUUUUAAGCAACAGAUUCAAAAUUAGUGGACCAGAAACCGAAUAAAGAAGUCUUACACUGUGCAGGAGCAGGAGUUUCUCAUUUGUUAACUUCUCCAUUGACAAUGCUAGCUCCAUAGCUGAAUCAAUAAUCAUAGAUAAUUGAAUGAGUUCCCAAAAAAAACAAAAAAAAAAUUAAAAUGUUCAAGACACAAGCAAGUAGAACAAACACAACAAGCUUGUGAAUAUGCCAGGUGAAAGUCAAAUAAACUAUGGAAGAAGGGUGGGCAGUCCUAUUAAGGUGGUGUUUUUUCUGUAAAGAAACACAAUUUCCGGAGUAGUAAAAUAUGAACAAACGACACCCAAAGAAAGAACAAGAAAAAGGAAAUAAAAGAUUUUGCAUUACUCAAAUCAAACAUCUUUCAUUCUGGAGGUUACAGAGUACGAAACAAUGUCCUCAAGUAAUGCAUACUUAAAUUCAACUUAUUCCAAAUUGCACGGUAUGAGGGAGACCCAAACAGGAAUUAAGGGGCACGUGAAUAGUUUGAUGGAGGGCAUUUUGUGUGUUUGUGGAUUCGGGAGCAUAAAGAAAUGACACCUUAAAUUUAUACUUUUGAAGAACUAAAACCUAGACAAAUGCAUGCCAUAUAAAAUAAUGCAGGUGUGUGCGAACACGCACACAUGUCAACUCAUAAGCAUGGAGAAGAACCGAAAAGAAACUUACAGUACAAUGCAUCUCCCUUCUCAGCAUGAUCAAACUCUGAAGGGGUCAUCAGGAUAGGAUGUAGCUUUACUUUUCCUCCUCUUUUGUUCUAGUAAUUAUCAGAAAGCAUAGUAUUAGAUAUGCAAAACCAAGAAAGAAUAAGUAAAUUAAGAAGGCAACAAAUCACUUCUAGAAAACCUGGUAUUCCAUCAGUUUCUCAGCAUGCUGUCUUUCUUCUUCACUUGACUCCUUGAAGAAUCUGAAGCAACAGGAUGAUACAUUAACUCUAAUAAUUAGAACAAUCAAGCAGUAUGAGAGAAUUUAUGGUUAUUGGGGUUACUUGGCAAGGCCCCUGAGAGCAAUGUUGUCCCUGUCGAAGUAUGCAAACAUUGAAUGAUACACAUAAGACACAUUGUAUUCCACACUGUUAUAUCAAACAAAGCAAGAAAAAGGUCAGUAAGAAGAAAAUUUUAACUGAAACAGGAACUAGUGAUAACGAUGAUAAUGAUGCAUGAAAAAUCCUGGACCUGGACGAAGAAACAAAGUGAAUGAAAAGUAAAGUGAAUUUUACAGAGUAGAAUGGUAUCCCCCCUCUCAGGUCAGCCCUGCUCUUUAAAACAAACACAUGCCCACAGAUUGAGAUUCGCAGCUAUAACUCCUAAAGUCCCAUUGUCUUUUCCUGGGAAUCCACUUAAGCAACUCAAAGAGAAUUGCUCUGUCCGGACUGAGGAGACUACUUUACAAGGCUAUAUCAGAAAGCAUUUUGUAUGGUCUCAAUGUAGUAUGUUUUACAAAGAUAGCAGAAUACUGAUAAGAGCAGAAUAUGAAACAAUCUCCAUCUUGGCUUUAAUUUCUACCAAACCUCCCCAUGAUGGUCCCAUUGUCUUCUCCGCCACAAUCCCCUAAGCAUCCAAAUCAACUAAACUACAUGUUGAUCACUAAUGAGAAAAAAUAGAAAAAAUUUUAACCUCUCCCAGGAAGUUGAAUUCCAUUUAUUUUAUUUUUAGCACCUUCUGUAGACCAUGAUGAGUUAAAGAGUCUAUGAAUCAUGUCCUGCCAUAGACCAAUUUUCAUCUUCCUAUUGAAUUAUCCACCCUAAACUUAAUUUAUCUAGCAUCAUAAACCAAACCACUAACUCGAGUUGAACUUGGCUUGGGCUCAAGAGCAUGAAGAGCUAGACAAUGGCUCAAUACGCAUGGUUGAAUGAUCAUUUCUCAUGCUUGACCAAACUUAACUAGAUCAUGUAAAUUUGUAACUAUGGUUAUAGUAAAACUAAACAUUAAGUUAAGAUCACAUAUAUGGUAGUCAACAAAAAGGUAGAGCCAACCAAAGCUUGGAUUAGGUACAGUAAUUUAUUGUGAGCCUCAUUUAGAUCAAGAUCAGCCAGCACCUAGUUAAGCUUGCUCAGGUUGUAGAUAAAAUUCAAUGCGAAGUUAAAGCAGAUGCAUAAAACGAACAACAAGGAGGGACAGAAGGCAGGAAGCUUAACAUGAUCUUCCUAAAAUUGGGCUGUUUCUUAAGAAGGGAUGUGUUGCAAACUCUCUCUUUGUUAAGAAUCAAAAGUACCAGACAUUGAUGAAUGUGAAAACCAAGUCAGGAACAAUAAACAAGUAGAACCCAAUUCUCAAAACAGGGACUAGAAGACAGGGUUCUCUGGGAAAACAUAUUAAGUUUAAGGUUUGGAGUUGGUGGGCGAUAAUGGCAGAAGAAAAAAAAAAGAGAACACAAAGUCAAUGCAACUUGAAGCUUUAAGCAAAGAAACAAAGAGGGGGAAAGCAAAAAAUUGGAAAGGAAUUUCGAAUAGUUUUGUUUAUUUAUUUUAGAAAUAAUAAGAAAAAAUAAUUAUAAUAAAAACUAUUUAAAGUCUUCAUAUUUUUAAUUUAUAAUAAUAUUUGAGAAAUAAAAUAAAAUAAAAUAUUAAAUUUAAGCUUAAUAUUUAUUUUUUUCCCAGCUUCUUACAAAAUUUUCAUAAUUUAAAAUGAAAAGGUUUACUAAUUUUUCUCUAUUUUAUCAUCAUGCCUAAAACUUUCCAUGAUUUAGAUAAAGAUAAAAGGGUAUAAAAGUGAAAAUAAAAAGUAAAGGAAAGUAAGAUUCUUUACUAAUAAUUGUUUUUGAAAACAAUAAUUAAAUAGUAAAAUUCUUUAAAAUAAUAUUUUAUUUUUAAAAACAGAAACUGUUUUUAAAUCAUUCGGAAAAACUGAUCUUGAAUUUUAAUAUCUUUAAUUUUUCUUUUAGGUCGGCUAAAAAUUAUUGAAAAAAAUAAAAAUAAAUAAAACCCACUUGAUUUGUUCAUUAAUGGCUGCUUCACACUCCUCGGAAUAGCCUUGGCGAGCAAGCGAAUGUUGAGGAGAAAUCGGAACAAGAAAAUCCUCCUUCUUCAACUCUUCAAACGGCUGAAAUACCACUCUACUAGUCGACAACUCAUUACUUCUCUCUCCUGAUCCCCUCACCACCAAUCCAUUAUUCCCUCUUCUCCUCUGCCACCGAGAAGUACAAGAGGAAGAAGAGCCGAAGCUACCAAAAAGAGGACUUCCAAGACCCUCCCCUGACGACCCUAAGAGAGAAACAACUGAAACACCUCCCACAAGCAUGGCUAAUUCUAUCACAGAAAUAAAGAAAAGACGAGAAAGAUGCAGAUGAGAGGUGAAGUGAUGAAGAGGCUGAUGAUAUAAUAUAAGCUCCCUUUGAGAGAGUUCCAUUCUGAUGGGGCUCAUUUUGGAGCGUAGGAUGAGAACAGAGGUGGAGGGAGGAGGUUGCACCACGUGUAGAGGGCGUGUGGCGAGCUCGUGGUUUAUCCAAGAUGCCAUGGAAUCUGACCAAAUAUCUGCUUCACGUAGCGAUCCAAAUACGGUUUCACUCCACGACUAGAGUUUUGGGUCAAAAUGGCCCAUUUUUUAAACUUAAUGUUGAAAAUAGGCACAUUUUUAAACUAUUGUUCAAAAUGGUCUCUUUGAUGCCACGUAGAUUCCACAUCAUUAAAAAAUAUUUUUUUUCAUCAUUAUAGUGAAAGCCGCAGUUGGGAAACGCAACUUCAUUUUUGUACUUCAUUUUUGUACUAAAACCACAGUUGGAAAACGCGACUUUAUUUUUGUACUAAAGCCGCAGUUGACAAACGCGACUUCAUUUUUGUACUAAAGCCGCAGUUGCCAACACAAUUUCAUUUUUUAACUAAAGUCGUAGUUGCCAACUGCGGCUUUAGUUAAUUUUUAUUUAAAUUUAAAAUUUAAUUAAAAAAUUAUUAAAUUACAAUUUAUGAAUGAAAUUUAAAAGUAUACUUAAAUAAUAAAUUAUUUAUAUUUAAAUUUAAAAUUCUAGUAUUACUUCAACAAACAUAAAUUGAUAAAUAGAAGAUAUUAUAAAUGAAUGUUUUAUUUAUUAAUAAAUUAAUAAUCUUAAAAUAAUAAAUUUAUAUAACAUAUAAAUAAUAUAUAAAAUUGUAUAAUUUAUUAAUUUAAGAUAUUUAAUUUGUUAAUUUUUAAGAUAUUAAUUUAUUUAUAUUAUGAUAAAUUUAUCUUUAUCGAAAUAAUAAUAUAGUAGUUAAUAACUGAGAUUUCAAUUAUAAUAUUUUUUUUACUUUCAAAUUUAAUUAAAACUAUUAAAUUAAAAUUUAUGAUUGAAAAUUUAAAAAUAUACUUAAAUAAAAAAUUAUUUAUAUUUAAACUUAAAAAUCUAGUAUUAUUUCAACAAACAUAAAUUGAUAAAUAGAAGAUAUUAUAAAUGAAUAUUUGAUUUAUUAAUAAAUUAAUAAUCUUAAAAUAAUAAACUUAUAUAACAUAUAAAUAAUAUAUAAAAUUGUAUAAUUUAUUAAUUUAAGAUAUUUAAUUUUUUAAUUUUUAAGAUAUUAAUUUAUUUAUAUUAUGAUAAAUUUAUCUUUAUCGAAAUAAUAGUAUAGUAGUUAAUAACUGAGAUUUCAAUUAUAAUAUUUUUUUUUUACUUUCUAAUUUAAUUAAAAACUAUUAAAUCACAAUUUAUGAUUGAAAUUUAAAAAAUAUACUUAAAUAAAAAAUUAUUUAUAUUUAAACUUAAAAAUCUAGUAUUACUUCAACAAACAUAAAUUAAUAAAUAGAAGAUAUUAUAAAUGAAUGUUUUAUUUAUUAAUAAAUUAAUAAUAUUAAAAUAAUAAAUUUAUAUAAUAUAUAAAUAAUAUAUAAAAUUGUAUAAUUUAUUAAUUUAAGAUAUUUAAUUUGUUAAUUUUUAAGAUAUUAAUUUAUUUGUAUUAUGACAAAUUUAUCUUUAACAAAAUAAUAACAUACUCUUAAGCCGUAGUUGUCAUAUAUAGAUUUUUUUACAAAAUUAGUUAAUGAAAUUAAUUAUAAAAAGUCUACUAAAAAAUGUAAUUUUUAAUAGUUUAAUUAAAGUCACAAAAAAUAUCCACUAAACAUUAAUAUAGUGGAAAAUAAAAAACAUAUAUAAUCUCACAUGCCUCCACAAGGAGAGAACCUAUGUUGGUACUCUCUUCCUUUUUGGACAAAAACCUAUAUAUAAUCACACAUGAUAAAAUUUAUUUCUCACAUGGAUACAAUUGGCCGGAUAAAUGCCGAGGCUAGAAAUUGGUUGGAGCAAAUUCCUCUUGAAAAAUGGGCACUCUCAUAUGAUGGUGGGCGGAGAUAUGGGAUUAUGACAACUAAUAUGUCUGAAGUUUUUAAUGAUGUCAUUAAGGGUGCUCGUAACUUACCAAUAACAGCUUUAGUCCAGUUAACUUUCUAUCGGGUUAACAGUUACUUCACAGUCAGGCGGGAGCAUGGUGCCAGUCGGCUCGCUUCAGGUGAAGAAUUUACUCCACAUAUUGACGCCAAGAUAAAGGCUAAAGUUGUUAAGGCGGGUGCACAUGAGGUUCUUUUGUAUGAUCAUGUGGCGGGACGUUUUCAUGUUAAAACUAGACACUCUGUUGGAAGCAGUAAUAGGAAACCUCGCACAUAUCAUGUUACCCUUCAAAUGGGGUCUUGCACAUGUAACAAAACACUUUUGUUAGGAUUCCCAUGUUCGCACAUUCUUGCUGGUUGUCAUUGUCGAGCAAUUGAAUUUCGACAAUUUGUACAAGGUUAUUACACCACACGUGCUUACCUAUCAACAUGGGCUCCCUUGUUUUAUCCCAUAUUUGAUGAGUUGGAGUGGCCUCAAUAUAAUGGACCGAUAAUUGUGUCUUCAGACUCAAUGAAAUGGCUAACUUCUGGUAGACCAAAAUCAAGUCGUUUGCAUAAUGAGAUGGAUGCAAGGGAAACUAGGACUCCACAAACAUGUGGACUUUGCAAGCAAUCGGGUCACAAUCGGCGUUCUUGUCCAAAAAGGAAGAGAGUACCAGUUACACAUAGGUUCUCUCCUUGUGGAGACAUGUGAGAUUAUAUAUGUUUUUUAUUUUCCACUAUAUUAAUGUUUAGUGGAUAUUUUUUGUGACUUUAAUUAAACUAUUAAAAAUUACAUUUUGUAGUAGACUUUUUAUAAUUAAUUUCAUUAACUAAUUUUGUAAAAAAAAUCUAUAUAUGACAACUACGGCUUAAGAGUAUGUUAUUAUUUUGUUAAAGAUAAAUUUGUCAUAAUACAAAUAAAUUAAUAUAUUAAAAAUUAACAAAUUAAAUAUCUUAAAUUAAUAAAUUAUACAAUUUUAUAUAUUAUUUACAUGUUAUAUAAAUUUAUUAUUUUAAGAUUAUUAAUUUAUUGAUAAAUAAAAUAUUCAUUUAUAAUAUCUUCUAUUUAUUAAUUUAUGUUUGUUGAAGUAAUACUAGAUUUUUAAGUUUAAAUAUAAAUAAGUAUAUUUUUUAAAUUUCAAUCAUAAAUUGUGAUUUAAUAGUUUUUAAUUAAAUUGGAAAGUAAAAAAAAGAUAUUAUAAUUGAAAUCUUAGUUAUUAACUACUAUACUAUUAUUUCGAUAAAGAUAAAUUUAUCAUAAUAUAAAUAAAUUAAUAUCUUAAAAAUUAAAAAAUAAAAUAUCUUAAAUUAAUAAAUUAUACAAUUUUAUAUAUUAUUUAUAUGUUAUAUAAAUUUAUUAUUUUAAGAUUAUUAAUUUAUUAAUAAAUAAAACAUUCAUUUAUAAUAUCUUCUAUUUAUCAAUUUAUGUUUGUUGAAGUAAUACUAGAAUUUUAAAUUUAAAUAUAAAUAAUUUAUUAUUUAAGUAUAUUUUUAAAUUUCAUUCAUAAAUUGUAAUUUAAUAAUUUUUUAAUUAAAUUUUAAAUUUAAAUAAAAAUUAACUAAAGCCGUAGUUGCCAACUGCGACUUCCUUAAAAAAUGAAGCCGCGUUUGGCAAUUGCGAUUUUAGUACAAAAAUGAAGCCGCGUUUGCCAACUGCGACUUUAGUGCAAAAAUGAAGUCGCAUUUGCCAACUGCAGUUUUAGUGCAAAAAUGAAGCUGCGUUUCCCAACUACGGCUUUAGUGCAAAAAUGAAGCCGCGUUUCCCAACUGCGGCUUUCACUAUAAUGACGAAAAAAAAUAUUUUUUAAUGAUGUGGCGCCUAUGUGGCAUCAAAGAGGCCAUUUUGAACAAUAGUUUGAAAAUGUGCCCAUUUUCAACAUUAAGUUUCAAAAAUGGGCCAUUUUGACCCAAAACUCCCACAUCUAAAUACCUUGUGCUUCUGGAAGUUGUGACUUCCAAGCUUUCGUGUGUGACCAAAUUGUUGAGGAGCCUGUCCUCCACACGAGGCUUUUCCUUAUCCUCUAUCCUACUCUUUUUUCUCAAGUCCUACAUAUCUAUCCAUAUAUAUAUAUUUCUUAUUUUUAAUAAUAUUUUUAACUAAUACUAUAUUUUUAUAAUAAUGAAAUUAUUUAAAAUAGAGAUAAUUGUACUUUUGACCCAAUUGGGUCUAAAACACAAUUAUCCCUUUAAAAUAUAUGUAUUAUAAAAUUAAUUAAUUUUAUAUUUUAAAUUCAGUAUAUAAAAACAAUUAUUAAUUAAUAUGGAUAUAUUUUUAUAAAUAAUAAUAUUACCGAUAACUAUUAUUUUAUAUAUUAUUUCUAAAUAAUAAAAUUUUUAAAAAUAUAAAUUAUUUUGUUAGUAUAUAUAUAUAUAUAUAUAUGCACACGUUAAUAUUAAAAUAAUACUAUUUUUUAUUCACUUAGCUAUUGAUUAAAAAUAUUUUGGUAUUUAUCUUGAAUUUUAAUGUUAAUUUUACUAUUAAAUAUAUAUAUAUAUAUAUAUAUAUAUAUAUAUAUUUUAAAAGUUUAUUUAAUGCCUUUCUUCCUUAUUUCACUUUGACUUUAUUUCUUAAUAUCCUUUUAAAAAUAUUUUGAUAAAUGAAUGUUUAAUUUUUUUUUUUUAUAGGUGAAAUUAAAUUAUAUCAUAUUUAACUUGUUAAAAAAACAUUUAAAAACUUAAAAAAAAUUAAAACUAUUGUGGAUUUUAUUUUAUUCAAGUUUUUUUUAAUAAAACUAUUAUCGGUUCUAUUUUAUUUGAGUGUAUUAAAUUAAUUUUUUUAAAUGAAUAAUUUUCAUUUUUCUUUAAGUUAAAUUAGUUUUGUAAGAUAAACUUUAAAAUUUAAAUAAUUUAAAAUUUAAGCGUUUUAUGUAAGCUGAAACCACGUUCACACGUUCUCAUUUCAUGAUGUGGUCCAACACUUUGACCACGUCCUCCACCAUCUCACUUCCGCUGCGGUUAAGGAGCACAUUCCAGCAAUUGCUCAACGUGGUGGCAAGAGCAACGUGGUUUGAUGGAAGCCACUGUUAUAAAGUUUUUAGUAAAUGGUCCCGAACUCACUCUGUUUUUAUCUUUAGAAACACCAUCUAAAAAAGGGAGAUUAGAGUUUGGAAAUCAAGUUUUGUUAUAAAGUUUUUAGUAAAUGGUCCCGAACUCGCUCUGUUUUUAUCUUUAGAAACACCAUCUAAAAAAGGGAGAUCAGAGUUUGGAAAUCAAGUUUUGAAACCGACUACAAUGGCUGGAGGUAAGUAAACUAUUCUUAGUCUUUUUCAGUUUUGAUUCAUGUUGCAAAUUCAUUGGAAUCAUAUAUAUAUAUAUAUAUAUAUAUAGCAUGUAAACAACUUACAUUUGGUAUCAGAGCAAGUUAAAUCUUACCUCUGUUUUGUAUUAAUUCUGAAUGAAAAUUCUUGUUAUUAUGAUCUCUCUAAAUUAUAAAAACAAUGGCUACUUGAGGCGAUCCAAAAGGUUGGUGUAAUUCUUUCAGAAAACGCCAUUACAGGCAUUCAACAAGCAGCCAUUCAGGUGCUGUUUUCGGGUGCUUUAGUAGCGCUGUUAAGGCGCCAUUGGAGACACCAUUUAGAGUGCAUUUUGGGGCUGCAACCAGUGCCAUUUCAAGCGCCAUACCAGCCCCGUUCAGGCACCACAUGCAGCACCAUUGAAAGUCCAUUUUUUUGGGGCUGCAACUAGUCCAUUUUAAGGCGCCAUACCAGCCCCGUUCAGGCACCACAUGCAGUACCAUUGAAAGUCCAUUUUUUUGGGGCUGCAACCAGUCCAUUUCAGGCGCCAUACCAGUGCCGUUUCAGGCAUCUUUUCACGCCGACAAGAGGCGCCCUUUAGGAGUGCCGUUCAGACGUUAUUCGCAGUGGUUGGAAGUCACCAGUGAGGACUUACUUGCUGGUGAUGUUGAUAGCCGGAAGGCACCCGUGAGACUCUUUAUGCCUCUGAUGUAGGUGGCUCCAUGGCUAGCUGGUGAUUAAGCAAUCCACAAGGGUGGCCAUAAAUUAGAACCUAGAGAGAGAAUGGGUUCUAUUAGGUGUUGGGCCAUGUAUUAAAUGGGAAAUUUGGGGCUUGGUAUAAAAGGCUAUUGGGCCCUUUGGGCUUAAUGCAUAAAUAAUGGCCCAUUAUGAAUACUAAGGGUUGGGUUUCUUAUGAAGCCCGCUAAAGUUUGGGUUUUAAUAUGGAUUGACCGGUAAUGGCUUAGAAAUAAAAUUUGUUGGGCCAUGGGGCUCAAUGUGGGCAUGUGGUUGAAUUUUUUAUUUUAAUUAAUUAGGCAUGGAAUUGAUUGUGUUUUAUUUGGAUUUAGGCAUUCAUUCAUAAUCUGAAACCUUUAAAUUAUUUUUAAAAUUAUCAUGUAAAUUUUAUACAUGCUAAAUAAAUAAUUAUAUAUUGUUUUAUAUGUUUGUAGCCUAAAUUAAAGUUGUAGCUCUUAAUGCAUGCAAUUAUUGCCUGAAUUUGAGUUAGAUAUAUUAAAAUUAUAUCAUAUAGUUUUAAUGUCUAGUGAAACUAUAUGAUUUUUUAAAUAAUUAAGGAAUAGCCACAACAUCCUUAAUUAUAUAAAAAUUAUAUAUUAAGUGAAUAAGGAUCACAUUAUGGACAUUAAUUGUAAUUAAUUAUAUAAAUAUGAUGAUUUUACCCCACAGGGUUUUCAUUAUGUUUAUAUAAUUAAUUAGGAUAAAAUAUUAAAAUUAAUUUUUCCUAACUUACCCACAGGAGUUAGGAAGAAUUAAUUUAAUAGGUUUAUCAUAAAGAUUAUAGACAGAAAAUAUUAAACUAUAUUCAUAAUAAAUUUCAUAAUUCAAUAAAAUAGUUUGAUAAAGUCUAUCAUAAAGAUAAUUAAUUUGAUUGAAUUAAAGAUUUAGCCCAUAGGCAAUUUUUAAUAAAAUUAGAUUAAAUUUUAAGCAUGUUCUACAUUGUGUGGACCCGCAUUUUUCACGUGCGCCCCCACUCGAUCAGCGAGACUCGCUUUUUAUUUGUGAAAAUUUAAUUUUUGGAAAAAAGUUGGAGCCGCCACUUAUUUUAUUUUUAUUUUAAAGGGAAAAUAAAGCAAGAAAGAAAAACCCUAAAAUGUGACUCCAUAAUUUUUGGAAAAAGUAUGUCUUUGAAAAAAACCCGAGUCUAAGUCUGGGGAUCAGGUUACCUAUUGGGAAGGUACCUUUAAAAGGUAGCACCCCUCGAAGCCCUAUAAAGGUCUCUACUAACUAAGUUAAGGGGAAUGUGGCAAUUAAUUGGUUAAUUAUGGAUACCUAAGUAGACUAGGUGGUUCCAAAAAAUAGCAUGCCAAACAAGAUCAAAUCAUAAUAAAGGAAGGUUAGGAUGCGUACCUGGACCGCUUCUCAAGCGCUAUCAUAAAACAUCGAUGGUUAAUUUAAACAAUAUAUCAUCCACCAUGUGUUUUAUUAGAAAUAAUCAAACAAUGAAACAUGUAUAUCAGAACACUCAAGCAUUAUUAGACAUAAGCAUUAUUUCACAAUGACAAGCAUAUUCAUAGAAUUCAGAAAGUAGGUGAUAGAAGACAUACCUGGAUAGCAUAGAUAAUUUGUAACGUGCUUCCUCAAGUUGUAAGGGGUUAGAUAAUAAAUAAUCAAAUAUAGAAAUCCUAGCAUGCUCGUUAUCUAAUUAGCAUAGCAAAAGUGAUCAAAGUAUACAGAAUCAUCAAUUAUCACAUACAUCUUGUAUAUAAUUCCUAAAAAAAUAGAUAGACAUGAUUUCAACAAGUGUCAAAUGUGGCAACAAAAAUAAAUUUUGAAAAGAUUUUCUUAUGUAGGGGUUUCACCAAUUCCCCAAUCGAUAUAAACAAAUUUAGUUUAGAAUUAUCCCAUUUAUUUGGGACCACAAGCUUUGAUUCGUGUUUUAUUCAAAACUGUAAUUUUAUUUGAAAGAUGUGAACCGAUCAAAACAUGGUUGCACAUUAUUUUUAAAAAAUGAGAUUUUGAUUCUAAGAACUCUAAAUGAAUUUUUGAAAUGGAUUGUUAAGGGGAUCUUUUGAGAAUAGUGUUAUGUUUUUAAAAAUUAAAAGAAAUUAAAUUCUUUUUUUUUUUAAAAAAAAAAAAACAUAUGAAUCAAAAUACCAAGCAUAACAAAAGAGAACAAGAUCACAAAUUAGAAUUUUUGACAACCGAGAAAAUUGAAGGUGAGAAUGGAGGCCAAUCUUCAUGAGUUUCCAAAGGUCUUAGAAAAAGAAAUCAAAUUAAGUGAAGGAUCACUAAAGCAACAAGCAAAGCAUUCUAGAUUAGACAAACUAACAAGGUAUUGAUUCAUGAACUAACCGCUAGGAUUUUAAAAGCAUAUAAAUUUAGAUAAGGGUGAUCAGGAUCUAACAUUAAUGAUUUUGAAACAAAAACUAAAAAUGGAUCAAUUCAGGCAAUGAACUAAAAUUAUAGAAGUACCUAAACUAAUUAAAACGAGUUUGACUAAAUUAAACUAAAAACGUGAACUUUCAAACAUAGAAUUAAUUUUACUAAUGAACUACAAUUAUAAAAGUGCUUAAACUAAUUAAAAUGAGCUAAACUAAAUCAAAGCAAACUAAAGAUAUGUACUUUCAAGCAUAGAAUUAAUUUUAUUGAUGAACCAAAAAUUAUAAAAGUGUCUAAACUAAAUAGAUGAAUUAAAUUAAAUCAAAGUACACUAAAAACAUGAACUUUUAAAUAAAGAAUCAAUUUUAUCAAUAAAUAAAUAAAACUAUAAAAACACAUAAACUAAUUAAAAGGAACCAAAUUAAAUCAAAGAAUACUAAAAAUAUGAACUUCCAAACAUGGGAUCAAUUUUAUUAAUAAACCAAAACUAUAAAAACACCUAAAAUAAUGAAUACAUAUUAUUAAAUCAAAGCAAACUAAAAAAAAAACUGAAACUUUCAAACAUGAGAUUAAUUUUAUUAAUGAACUAAACUAUAAAAAAUAUCUAAACUAACUAUAAUGAAUCAAAUUAAAUUAAAGUAACCUAAAAACGCAAACUUUCAAAAACAUAAAAUCAAUUUUAUCAAUGAACUAAAACUAUAAAUGUAUUUGAACUAAAUAGAUGAAUUAAACUAAAUCAAAAGUAAACUAAAGACAUGAACUUUUAAAUAUAGAAUCAAUUUUAUCAAUGAACUAAAAUUAUAAAAGUAUCUAAACUAAUUAAAAUGAAUCAUAUUAAAUCAAAGAAUACUAAAAAUAUGAACUUCCAAACAUGGGAUCAAUCUUAUUAAUAAACUAAAACUAUGAAAACACCUAAAAUAAUGAAUAUAAAUUAUUAAAUCAAAGCAAACUAAAAAAAAGACUGAAACUUUCAAACAUGGGAUCAAUUUUAUUAAUGAACUAAACUAUAAAAAAUAUCUAAACUAACUAUAAUGAAUCAAAUUAAAUUAAAGUAACCCAAAAACGCAAACUUUCAAACAUAAAAUCAAUUUUAUCAAUGAACUAAAACUAUAAAUGUAUUUGAACUAAAUAGAUGAAUUAAACUAAAUCAAAGUAAUAUAGAAUCAAUUUUAUUAAUGAACUAAAAUUAUAAAAGUAUCUGAACUAAUUAAAAUGAAUCACAUUAAAUCAAAGAAUACUAAAAAUAUGAACUUCCAAACAUGGGAUCAAUCUUAUUAAUAAACUAAAACUAUGAAAACACCUAAAAUAAUGAAUAUAAAUUAUUAAAUCAAAGCAAACUAAAAAAAACUGAAACUUUCAAACAUGGGAUCAAUUUUAUUAAUGAACUAAGCUAUAAAAAAUAUCUAAACUAACUAUAAUGAAUCAAAUUAAAUUAAAGCAACUUUUAGAUAUGAAAAGAGUGACAUGGAAGCAAUUGAACUAAUAAACUGAAUUUUAAUAACAUUUAAACUAAAAGAUAAAUUAAAACUUGAACUAAAAGAAAUUAUGAAUUUCCUAAUUGAGAACAAAAAUAAUGCUAAUCAAAAUUCUAAAUUUUUAACCAUUAUCACAAAUUAUCCAAACUCUAAAAAAUCCUAACUUUUCCAUUAUCAACAAAAUUGCCUAAACCAAUACUUUAAAAAUAAUAAUGAUAAUAAUAAGUAAAUAAAUAACAAAAAAUCUAAUUUGUCGAACUAAGAAAAUAAAUUUUAACUACAUUAAACAUAAAUCAUAAUUUUCAAGCAAGAAUAAUAAAUCAGUAAUAAUUAAUUUAGUUAGUUAAGAAAAAUUAAAAAUUAACAUCUAAGCUAAAUAUGAAUUUACAAUAAAAUAAAAUUUUAAAAUGCAUAGGCUGAAUGGGAAUAAUACAAGACUAACUUUAACGAAUUAAAAACAUGAAUACAUUGACAUUGGGAAUGAGUAACUAAAUAUAUAAAAUUCUGAAAUAAUUAUGAAUGGCAUUGAAUAGUCAUGAAUCCAAAUUAAAACAGGAAGAAUUAAUUUACCUUGGUCAAAGACGCAUGGGCUACUUUUGUUAGUGACAGUAGGAUUUUUAAAAUCAAUUCCGCCUGGUGUGGUGGAUACCAUGCACUGCAAAUACUUGCACAGUCACCAAAACAAUGCGUAUUAGUGGAGAGAAAUCUUCCCUGACAAUGUGUUGCCAUUGAGAGAAUCUGGUGGUCUCCUUUAUGUCCUCUGAGCAGCAACCCCUUAAGUUGAAUGACAUUUUCUAUGGCCACGCGAUCCCCUUUGGUGCAGCCCGCGCAUGAAGUCCUUCUUAGUGGCUGGUUUCUGGGCAUAAUCUGGCUAGCUCUUUUCAAAGUCCAGAAUGCGUGGAUGUUCUCGAUGAGAAACCCUCGUUUGGUGAAGACGAAGGUAAUCCGCGUCUUGACCGGAGUGAAGACUUCUUGAACAAUCUAUUUUUUUUUUUAAAACUAUAGCUCCUAAUAGUUCACGAAAACACGAUCUGAUCCGACUACUAUUGCGCCAUUCAAGGUAUAGUUGUGCUUCUCUGAAGUUUUUCCCAUGCGCCUACCUUCUUUCCCUUCCUUCUAUAUAUGUAUCACCCUCCAAGACCUAAAUAUGUUUCCAAAAAGGAAAAUUCUCCUAUUUCCUUUUUUUUUUUUUUUUCAAUCUUCCCUUUCAAAAGCCAUCUUCCCAAUUUCAAAUUCCUCUCCAAAAACCUUCCAUGGAGAGUCCUACAUUCCUUAAACUCCAAUGGUAAGUUUCCUUGCAAAAACAUGGAAUUUUUAAAGUUAAAUAAUUGAAUGAAUAGAUAAAUAAGUAAAUAAAUUAGAAAAUGGUAAAAAUAAUAAAUAAAUAAAUAGGUUAAGGAAAAUAAUAUAAAGAGGAAGAUAACCAAUAAAAAGUGAAUGAUAGUCAUAAAACUAAAACUAAAAUAAUAAUAAUAAUAAUAAUAAACAAAUUAACAAAAAUUUGGGCCCCACGAGCCAUGCAAACAUGCAAGUCAUACAAGUUAGGCUAAAAAGUCUUAAUGGGCCAAGUGUGCCUACAUGGGCCUAAGGUGAGACUAGGUGGGCCUAACUAAAUGGGCCAAGGGUGCCUAAAAGCUAUCCUAAAAAAAAGCAAGAAAAGCCUAAGUCUAAAUCAAGACUGCCAAUGAUCACAAUAAAGGGUCAGAUAAUCUCUUAACCAAAGUCUCCGAGAUGACUCAGAAAAAGGUAAGUUGUACGAGUAGUAAUGGGCCAACAAGGAGUUACUAUGGAGCAUUAAAAAUGAAUUUAAAAACAUGUGCUAAAGGGACAAAAUUGAGGGUCUACAAAUAUGCCCCUCUUCGGUAUAGAUCACGAGUGUAGAGAAUGUGAGUAGAAACACGAGUAAUGAGCGAAAUGAAGUGAACUAUAUCGAAGAAUUAAAGAAAGACUAGAGAUUUUGUCCUAGCACAUGAAAAGGUAAGGUCAAAAGGUGGGGUCGCAAUGAGAUGGAAAGAGGUGAAAAGGGUGACUCAAAGUCAUGAAUGAGAUGAGUGAAUAUAGGUUAAGGACAAGAUGAACGACUCUAGAUCUAAAGUAGGAUAAAUGAAUCUGGGGCAUGGGCUCAGGGCUCUAAGUGAAAAGAAUGACUGGGGGUCAUAAAUGGAGGACGACUCUGGGUCGAGAGCUCUGGGCUCUAGGAGGGAAAGAAAUGACUCUGGGUCAUAAAUGGAAAACGACUCUGGGUCAAGAGCUCUGGGCUCUAAAUGGAGAAGAAAUGACUCUGGGUCAUGAAUGGAAAACGACUCUGGGUCGCGAGCUCCGGGCUCUGAAUGGAUAGCCGAUCAGGAUGCUUUCCGACUGAAGGUGCCGUGUCGAGGCCACUCACAAGUGACUAGAAUGAUGAAAACGAAACAUCUCAGGGAUGUGAAUGAUGCAAACGACUCCGGGUCGUGAGCUCAGGGCUCGGGGUGCUAUGAAUGACUCUGGGUCAUGAUGCAAUGAGUAAUUCGGGGUACGAUGAAUAGCUCAAGGCUACGGAUGGUAUGAAUGACUCUAGGUCAUGAUGCAAUGAGUAACUCAGGGUUACGAUGAACAGCUCAGGGCUAUGGAUGGAAUGAAUGACUCUGGGUCAUGAUGCAAUGAGUAACUCAGGGUUACGAUGAAUAGCUCAGGGCUAUGGAUGAAAUGAAUGACUCUGGGUCAUGAUACAAUGAGUAACUCAAGGUUAUGAUGAAUAGCUCAGGGCUAUGAGCUCUAUGACUGAUCGGCUAGAAGGAGAAUGUGACACACAAACUCCAAGUCAAACCACUCAUGGGCGACCAAAUGAUGAAGGCUCAGCUAAAAGUUGGAAAGACUCUGGGUCUAUAGGAAAUGAUAGCUCAGGGCUAUAAGACUUAGGGUCUAGAAGGAAUGGAUAGCUCAGGGCUACGAGGCUUAGGGUCUAGAAGGGAAUAAUAGAGAAGACCAACUCGAAAGUGGACAUGAGAUAAAUUGGCUCAAAGCCAUAUACUCAAAAUGUCAAGGGUCGGACUACUGAAACCAAAAAGGGAAAUAUGCCCUAGUAUCCAAGGUACUCACACUGCUGAAACAACCAGUAAACCAAUCAUCUGCUAGAAUUAAUGGGUCAAGAACCAAUACAUCAUGACAAACCUCUGAAGAGUCAAAACUGAAGGAGGCCUCUGUGUUUGAAAAACUGCUAUGUCGACGAACCUCAACAAAUCUCAAAGUGUGUAUAUCAUGGCUCAUCUAAAAGCAAAUCUCAAACUACACAAAAUGGUGCUCAUCUGGAUAACCCAAUCGACAAGAUAACAAUGAUGAUCGAAAACAAAUCCAUCUCAUGAACAUCUAGCUAAAGGAUCCACCUAUGCUCCUCAGGUGAAAUCUGAUGUGAUCCAUCUCUAUCUCAACAAAUCCAUAUAGGGGGUCUUGAUACAGUCAAUCAUCGAAAGCUCUAGGCUAGUACUCAAUCUGAAACCAAAUUGGCUACUGUCCCAAUCUCAAGGAUACUAAAAUAAAAUGGGGAAAUAUGCCCCAGUAUAAGAUCCGAUAUCAAAGUCAUGAGGUAAACAACCGACACUAAUCAUCCAUCCUCGUACCACUACCCAAACAAAAUCUCGUCAAGGAGAGGGGAAUAUGCCCCAGUAUGGAUAUCCGAUGUCAAAGUCAUGAGGUAAACAAUAAACAAUGAUCAUCCAUCCUCGUACCACUGCCCAAACACAAUCUCAUCAAGGAGAGGGGAAUAUGCCCCAGUGUGGAUAUCUGAUGUACAAUAAAGAGUCUGUCAAAAUCAACCAAACAUCUCUAUAACCAUGAAUAAGGAUAGUCAUACCGCACAAUAACAGAUAGGAAUCUCUGGGGAAGGGGGAAUAUGCCCCAGUGUGAAUAUAUAAUGCACAACCAAAGGAUGAAUCAAACAUCAUCAAUCAACUGUCCUCAGCUUAACAAUAAUCCGCUAAGAAGUCAGAAUGAAGAAUCGACCAAUGCCUCAAAGGAGACACUUUAAAUCUAAUCUUAAAUGAAUAGCCAAAAUGAAGAGGGAUGUGGUAAUCUCAAGAGUAGAAGCAUGUCUUUGAUGAAUCCCUAACUAAAUUUGAUAGGAAUAUGGUAACCUCAAAAUGGGGAAAUAUGUCCCAGUAUGCCAGAUCUAUACACUGCACUGAAAACUGCCUCCAACUCAGUAAUAAUCCACUAGUCUAUUUCAGAAAUACUCCGCGAAUGGAACCAUUAGGGGCUCAACGAUGCUCCACUAGAACUAAUAUAGUCUCAACAUACUCCACUAGGGAUCUCUGAUCGAUGAAAAUACCCAGGUUCAAAGAAAAUGCUCCACUAGGGUCUCAUCUCAACCGAACGAAAGGGGAAUAUGCCCCAGUAUGCAUAUCUGAUGUCGACAAAAGGAUGAAUCCGAUAUCAUCAAUGAACUGUCUCCAAACUCAAAAAUCCAUCAAACAUCAAUAAGUCAAGCAAGAGAAAGACCAAAUGCUUCCAAAAGUAUCUUCCAUAAAAGAGAAUAUGAUAGCGACUAUACUUCAACCAGUCUACAAAAGCCUGUCCAAGUGAAGAUUGUCAAAGAUAACGCUUGAUCUCAUGGCCUCAGGGUGGUCUUAAGACACGGGACGUAACGUAGGCCAAGGUGAUACGGUGAAAGAAAUGAAGGAAAACUAGGCUCAAACACCCAAUGAUCAAACCCAUACCCUCGUGUAUAAGAUGUAAUGCAUAGAAAAAAUCUCAUGAGCCAUGGACUUAAAGGUAACCAAAGGAAAUGUGGAUGGCGGAAUGAGAGAAAGAUGAGUAGUCAAACCAUCAAUGAAACAUGUGCAUGAUGUGAAGAAGGUAUCGAAUAAAAAAAUAUGUAUCAAUAUGUAGGAAAUGGAUAAAAAGGUGGAACAAAGAUCUGGAAAGAGGUAAUGGGAUACAAAAGAAAGCAAUGAGAAAGUGGAAUGAGUGAUGAUCAACCCAUGUUAGUACAAUAAAGGAAAGUCAUAUCACCAAUGAUGGAAUGGUGGGUGAGACAAUGAUCCGAAGACCCUAGUAAAAAGAUUACUCAUCUCUCAUACCUAGUAUAUAUCAAACAUGAUCCAAGAAGUAUAGGAUCUCAUAGAACUCUCAUAUGAACCCUCGACACUCCAAAUGCAUAACAAGAGUGGCUCAAGGAGUGAAAAACUCAUAAAAAAACUCACAAAAACCCACAACGACAAAUAUACCCAAUAAAUGAACCUCAAAAGAUGGCAUAAAUGCCCAAUGGAGCGAGAUACCAUACAUGAACAUGUCAUUGGGCUUUUUUUUUUUUUUUUGGAUGCGCAUGCUCUGAUCAUCAAUAAAUCGAACUCCAAUGGAAAAGAUACAAGGAAUGAACAAACUCUCUCAAACCACUGAUGAAUACAUGAACCCCAACCCAUGAGAGAACCUCUCAAACUAAAAUCUCCGAAUCAAUGCCAAAUGAGGGGAUGGAUGGAGUGAUAUGAUUGCCCUCUUUUGCACCAAGAUGUGAAGAAUCAUCAACCCAAGAAAUAGAAGAGAUAAGAUGAAGCAAAUAAUGAUAAACGCAAGAGAGACAAUGAAAAUGUGAUGAUAGUAAAAUAGAACAAACGGGGCGAUAAGGAGAUGAUAACAAAAUGAGAAGAUAGACCUAUAAGUCUAAAGCUCAUGAGACUUUCCUAGCAAAGCAUGCAUAUACAUCAAAGGGCCCCAACCCGAGUAUAGAAAUGGUAAUCAAGGCUAUAAGAAAGAAAUAAGGCUAUAACAUACCACGCGAAGCUCAAUGGGCUAGCAAUGGUCUAAUAUAUAGAGGUGAUAAAGUAUGAGGCUAACUGAAAUGAUGGCCACCCAUCCUGCAACCACGGUCUCAAACAUAAUACUUCUUUAGCUGAUCCACAUUGGUAGGCUCUGAAAAUUGGUUUCCAUCUAAGUCAGUCAACCAUGCAGCCCCUUCUGGAGUCAACUCUCGAAUAAAAUAAGGCCCACUCCAACUAGGUUUAAACUUUCCUCUGGGGUUUCUAAUCAAACCUCUGAGAAUCCGUAAAACUAAAUCCUCUUUUUGCAAUGGUCUAGGCUUAACUCGUUUCUUGAAGGCACGAGCCAUCUUUCUCUGAUAGGUCUGAACAUGAUCUGUUGCUCUCAAUCUCCUCUCAUCUAAAAGGUUAAGCUGAUCAAAUCGAGCCUGAGCCCACUCUGUCUCAGAAAUCUGCUGCUCAAGGGCUACUCUCAAUGAGCCCAUCUUUGUCUCGAAUGGCAAAACAACCUCCAUACCAUAUACUAGGGAGUAAGGCGUAGCUCCUAUAGAGGUACGAAAAGAGGUACGGUAUGCCCACAAUGUAAAAGGAAGCUUCUCUGACCAAUCUCGAGAAAUCUCAACCAUCUUCCUCAAAAUCCUCUUAAUAUUCUUGUUUGCAGCCUCCACUACCCCAUUGGUCUGUGGCCUAUAUGUAGAAGAUCUAUGAUGUCGGAUGUCAUACUCCUGCAAUAAGGUGUCUACCUCAGCUCGAAAGUGUGCCCCUCUAUCUGAGAUCAACUCAUGAGAAAACCCAUAACGGCAAAUGAUGUGUGAUCUGAUGAAACUGGCAACUCUAGCAGAUGUCAACCUCGUAUAUGAUGCAGUCUCCACCCACUUGGUGAAAUAAUCUAUGGCGACUAGGAUGAACUCAUGACCACUGGAAGAUUUUGGUGAAACCUUCCCAAUAAUAUCAAUUCCCCAUACUGAGAAUGGUCAGGGCGAGGUAACCAAAAAUAACUUGUCCUCAUAAUCUUACGAGCUAGCAUGUGUCCUCCCAUAUGCGGACCACAAACUCCUACAUGAACCUCUCUCAUCACUCGAUCUGCAGAGGCUCGAUCUAAACAAAAAAAAAGCAUACCGUCAGCUGAUCGUCUGUACAAGGUAUCUCCACAAAUCACAAAUCUAGUGCCCAAAUGCCUCAAUGCUCUUCGAUCCUUGACAGUGGCUAACUCAAGGUAUAUGCCAGAUCUAAGGAACUGAUAAAUGUCAUGAUACCAAGGUAGAUCAUCUUGGACCUCUGUCUCUCCAAUCAAACAACAAUAGGCGGGUACAGACCUCAACUCAAUCAGCAACGGACAUACAACUACGUCAAUCGGAAUGUCCACAGAGGAAGCUAGGGUAGCUAAGGCAUCGGCAAAUCGGUUCUGCGCUCUAGGCAGAUGAACAUAUCUCAAGUUAUCAAAUCUCGCAACCAACAACUCUAAAUAAGCAUGAUAUGACCUAAGCUUCACGUCCCUAGUCUUCCAGUCUCCCUGAAUCCGUCUGAGUACCAAAAUGUGAGUCAUCAAAUACCUCCAUCUGUCUAAUGCCAAGCUCCAAUGCAGUCUCUAAACCCAGGAUGCAAGCCUCAUACUCAACUAUGUUAUUCGUAAUAGGAUGUCGAUCAUGGAAUGCCAAACGAACAGAUCUCAGAAUAUGAUCGCCCUAAGGGGACACCAACAGAACACCUAUCCCAUACCCUAAUUGAUUGGCUGCACCAUCAAAGUACAAGCACCAUCCUGAUAUGCUAGUCAUAGCAACAAACUCUUCAUCUGAAAAAUCAUCAUCAACUGGUCUGUCCUCAGAUGUCGGUAGUGAAGCUAAGUGAUCGGCGACAAUACUUCCCUUAAUAGACUUCUGAGAAAUGUACUGAAUAUCGAACUCUGUUAAAAGUACGAGCCAUCUCAUCAAUCUACUAGUCAAUGCAGGUCUAUCAAAUAAGUAUCUCAACAGGUCUAGGCGGGAUAUCAAAUGCACUGAAUACUCUGUCAGGUAAUGCCUCAAUCUCCUGGUAGCCCAAACUAGUGCUAAGCAAAGGCGCUCAAUCAUAACAUAUCUCAUCUCAUACUCCAACAUCCUCUUACUUAGGUAGUAAAUAGCUCGUUCCUUUCCUAAGUCAUCAAUAUGAGCUAACAUACAUCCCAAGGCCAUGUCUGAAACUGACAAAUAUAGAAGAAGUGGACGUCCUGACGUAGGAGGCACUAAAACUGGAGGAGAAAGCAAAUACUCCUUGAUCUUCUCAAAUGCAAACUGACAAUCAUCAUUCCAAACUAUUGGCGGAUUCUUCCUUAAAAGACGAAAGAUGGGCUCACAUAUGUCUGUCAAUCUGGCUAUGAAUCGAUUGAUGUACUGAAAUCUGCCUAGAAAACUCCUAAUCUCUUUCUCAGUCUUCAGCGCAGACAUGUCAAGUAUAGCUUUGAUUUUAUCUGGGUCGACCUCUAUGCCUCUCUCACUGACCAUAUGUCCUAAUAAUUUCCCAGAAGUCACUCCAAAGGUGCACUUCUUGGGAUUCAGCCUCAAUCUAAACUUCUGGAUCCUCUCAAAGAAUCUCUCUAGAGCAUCUAGGUGAUCUGUUCUACCUCGGGAUUUCACAAUCAUAUCAUCCACAUAAACUUCAACAUCCAUAUGCAUCAUGUCAUGAAACAAAGUAGUAGCGACUCUCUGAUAAGUGGCUCCUGCGUUCUUCAACCCAAAUGGCAUAACCCUGUAACAGUAGGUACCCCACUCAGUAAUAAAGGCUGUCUUCUCCAUAUCCUCUAGAGCCAUCAAAAUCUGAUUAUACCCUGAAAACCCAUCCAUGAAAGACAACAUCGAAUGGCCUGCGGUGCUAUCAACCAACAAAUCAAUAUGUGGGAGAGAGAAGUCCUCUUUAGGACUGGCUUUAUUAAGAUCUCUGAAGUCCACACAAACUCUAACUUUGCCAUCCUUUUUGAGUACUGGGAUGACAUUAGCCAACCACUCUGGAUACUUAACCACUGAUAUGAACCCAACACUGAGCUGUUUCUGAAUCUUCUCUUUCACUUGUAGACUCCAAUGUGGAUGCAACCGUUUCAAUUUCUACUUAACUGGUCUAGCAUGUGGUAGGGUAGGUAAAUGGUGCUGGACUAUAGAGGGAUCGAGACCUGGCAUGUCCUCAUAAGACCAUGCAAAGACAUCAAAGUAUGACCUGAGUAAAUGAAUGAGUCUAUCUCUCUCAUCUGUAGAUAGGGGUGAACCAAUCUUCAACUCUCUAGGCUGAUCCUCUGUGCCAAAAUCAACAGUUUCAACGUCCCCUGUAGCAGGUGAAACUCUCACAUCUUUGGGAUCAGAGUCAUGAUCAAAAGAGUCCCUAUCUGAACCGGGCUGUGCAAUCUCAUCAUCUAUAUCAAAUAUCUGUGUGAUGGGUGAGUGGGGUGCAGAUGUAGAGAUACUAUCUCAAGAGACAGACGAAUACUUAAAAAUGCUCAAAUCCAUAAAUGUAGCAAUAGAAACAUUGUCAGAGCGGGAGACAAAUCCCGAUAAAACAUCAAAAGAAAGAGGUGGGUCCACAAGGUCGGACGCUCCCCAAUUGGGCUAACAAUGCCCUCAAACAAAUUACUAUCAUCCUCUAGAAGCUCUAGAAUGGGAAGAGUCUGAGUCCCCUCAAGAACCUCAAUGGUAGACACCCCAAACAUAUCAAAUGCUGAAACAGGCUGAAGUUGAACAAUGCUGGUAAUCUGGCUCAUGGUCAUCAUGUCUAUCUCAUCUCGGUACUCAACAUGGGAAACAACUCCAUCAAUCAUCUCAGUAGAAUCAACAAUCACUCCAUCAUCAGUGAUCUCCUCUGGAAAGCAUAGAGACAACAUGCUAGCUUGAUUUGGAGAUGUGGGAGUAAUCGUCAUAGGGAAAGAAGUGUCGGGAGCCCCAUCACUCAACUAUAGCUGGUGAAACAAAUGCUGAAGAUCGGUCUCUCUAUCUAUAUGAACCACACUAUUGAUCUCCUUUAGACGAGGUCGAGUCUCUGAUCCUUUGACAAAGUAAUUAGCCAAACUUAUCCGAUAAGGUCGAACAGGAUAAUCAAAUGGUGUGUGGGAUAAACGGGCUCUCACCCUUUCCUUGCGCAGCCGCCCCAUGUAACGGUAAUCAGCCUCAGUGGGGAUGAAUCUAAGUCCAAAAGUCGUAUCAUGGUCAAUGGCAGCUAUGAACUCGCCUGGUCCCUGCUGACGUCAUCCUAACCCCAUGCCAGGUAGAAAGGUCAUACCCCUCAUCAUAUCAAGGACCACUGUGCUGCUAUGCUGAUUAAAAGACAUAGCUACAAAAUCUCUGCAAAAAUCCUUAAUCUCGAGAGUCUGUAUCUCAUCAAAAGUAAACCCAGUCAGAAGUGGGUCGUCCUCAUUGUGACUGAUCUGAAGUAUUGUCUCAGAAACGGAAAAUAUAUCCCUGGUAGACCGCAUUGUGAUGACUUGCCCAUCAUGAAUGAACUUCACUUCUGAUGAAGGGAAAAAGGAAUAGCUCCAGCUAUAUGAAUCCAUGGUCGGCCUAGUAGCAGGUUAAAGGAUGUGGGAAUCCUCAAAACUUAGAACAAAGUAGAGAAUGUGGCUGGACCAAUCUGCAAAUCAAUCAUCAAGGUACCCAUAACCUCCCUCUUGGUGCUAUCAUACGCCCUGACUGUUUGAGUAGAAGGACCAAAAUCUGAAGGCGCGAAACCAAGGGCUAUAGCAGUGGCUAAAGAGCAAACAUUCAGGGCUGAGCCGUUGUCCAAUAGGACAGACGAGACUCUAUGGCCUAAACGUCCGACUGUGAUGUAUAGAGGGCGCACGUGGUCUAAACCAUCAGGUGGCAAGUCAUCAUCUGAAAACACAAUGCAAGUGGCCCUGCCGGCUGUCAUCAUAUGAAUCAAUCUCUCGGGAGUGGUGGUAGUCUCUACUCUGAUCUGACUCAAGGCUCGAAUCAAAGCAUCUCUAUGAGUACUGGAUGAUGCUAAUAAAAUCUAGAUGGAAAUGCGAGCUUGAGUGCUCUGUAACUGUCUCAAAACCUCAUCAUCCUCUCUCCUAACCUCCUCAUAAGAGACUGCACCCUCAAACGGUCUGAUUGCUGGUGGUGGUGGCUGAGCUAUCCUCCCACUACGAGUCACAAUCUGUACCUCUCUCCCCUUUGAAUCAUCAUCCUCUGGCCAUGAAGUGAAUGAGACAAAAGCAUCCUGACAUCCGAUAACAAAGGGUGUAGGAUGAGUCAACUGGAAUGGUGCCUCGUAUGGGAUCAAACUGAAUGGUGCAGAAGUCUGAGGGACCAAUGAAACCCCAUCAAUCUCAUAACUAUCAUGCAAAACAAUUGGCUCGGGUAAUCCAUCAUCCCAACUCAACAUGUGUAUACUGUCAUCCUCUAUAAGGUCCAUGUGAUGAAUAUCUCCUGAAGAUGGAGACACUGCGUGUGUAGAAUGAGCAGGAAGAGGGUUCAUAGUCACACUUGGUUGCCCCAAGUUGACCAAACCUUGGUCUAUCAAGUCCUGAAUAGCAUGUCUCAAAGCAGUGCAAUGGUCCGUGUCAUGCCCUGGUCCCUGAUGGUAGGAACAAUGUAAGUCCAUCCUAAAGCGAGGUGGUAUAGGCUGGGGUAAAGGCCUCGAUGCUAAUGGAAUCAAUAAUCCACCCUCUGUGAGCUUCUGAAAGGCUCGACUCAAAGGCAUACCCAACUGAGCAAACUGACAUGGUGGCCUCUGCACAUAAGUAGUGGUCUCUGGAGCUCGGGGUUGAGUAUAUAGGGCAGGAGGCCUCUCUGUGACAUGUGUAGCAAAAAUAGGCUGUGAGACUGGAUGUAGAUAGGUAAAGUCAUAGGUCUGGAAGGAGCAGGCGACCUGUAAUGCGCAUGAGGUGAGGAUGGAUAGUAGAACCCAGGAGUCUGCCCAACUGUCUAAUAGCGUCUAGGAGGCCUCAUCCCUACUGAACUGAUAGCACCAACAUCUCCUGAUCUCUGUCUUCUUAAAGGCUUCUUCCCCUUAGAAUCAGUAGGGGAAGACUUAGACAAUAAUCCUCUAGCAAUGCCCUUCUCUAUACCAUACAAAGCCUGUACCAAAGAUCUAAAAUCCGUAUGAGGAAAUCCAAUCAAGUGUUUAGCGAAUCUAGGUUGUAAGCUCUUUAUGAUCAUGCUAAUCUGAUCUCUCUCUAAAGGACAGUCUAUAAUCUAAGAAAUCUUCUCCCUCCAGCGGGAGAUAAAUGAAGUAACUGACUCCUCUGACCUCUGUCUCAAAGCUUCCAACUCUCUCCUCAAAACAUCAAUGACAGUGUUAAAUGCAAACUAUCUCAAAAACUUCUGGGUUAAGUCAUCCCAAGUCCUACGGCGUGAUACCUCUAAUGAAGUGAACCAACGCUGUGCAACACCACUCAAUAACAUAGGGAAAAGCAUAACCAUCUAGGCCUCAUCCAGUCCAUGGGCCCUCAUAACCGUACUAUAGAGUCUCAAAUGAAUGCGAGGACAACCUAUGCCAGUGUAUCUCUCAAUCUCAAGUCAGCUCUCUAUGAUAUGUACCCCACCAUUUCCAAAUGACAAUAUUGUCCUUGGAUGACCAUGCUCCACUAACAUAGUCUGCCCAAGCUUGAACCUCUUACUUCCAAUUGGAAACCACCUAACUUUGAUGAAAGUAAAACAAUAUGUAGUUGCUUCAUUAAGAUUCAUUCAUUGGAUAGUUGGGGUCCCCUUGGAAGUUGGAACCUUCAGUUAGUUUUCUUUAUUGAUAUCUUGUUNNNNNNNNNNNNNNNNNNNNNNNNNNNNNNNNNNNNNNNNNNNNNNNNNNNNNNNNNNNNNNNNNNNNNNNNNNNNNNNNNNNNNNNNNNNNNNNNNNNNGAUUUAGACACCACCCAUGCUACCCCAUUUUAAGCAACAGAUUCAAAACUAGUGGACCAGAAACCGAAUAAAGAAGUCUUACACUGUGCAGGAGCAGGAGUUUCUCAUUUGUUAACUUCUCCAUUGACAAUGCUAGCUCCAUAGCUGAAUCAAUAAUCAUAGAUAAUUGAAUGAGUUCCCAAAAAAAACAAAAAAAAAUUUAAAAUGUUCAAGACACAAGCAAGUAGAACAAAUACAACAAGCUUGUGAAUAUGCCAGGUGAAAGUCAAAUAAACUAUGGAAGAAGGGUGGGCAGUCCUAUUAAGGUGGUGUUUUUUCUGUAAAGAAACACAAUUUCCGGAGUAGUAAAAUAUGAACAAACGACACCCAAAGAAAGAACAAGAAAAAGGAAAUAAAAGAUUUUGCAUUACUCAAAUCAAACAUCUUUCAUUCUGGAGGUUACAGAGUACGAAACAAUGUCCUCAAGUAAUGCAUACUUAAAUUCAACUUAUUCCAAAUUGCACGGUAUGAGGGAGACCCAAACAGGAAUUAAGGGGCACGUGAAUAGUUUGAUGGAGGGCCUUUUGUGUGUUUGUGGAUUCGGGAGCAAAAAGAAAUGACACCUUAAAUUUAUACUUUUGAAGAACUAAAACCUAGACAAAUGCAUGCCAUAUAAAAUAAUGCAGGUGUGUGCGAACACGCACACAUGUCAACUCAUAAGCAUGGAGAAGAACCGGAAAGAAACUUACAGUACAAUGCAUCUCCCUUCUCAGCAUGAUCAAACUCUGAAGGGGUCAUCAGGAUAGGAUGUAGCUUUACUUUUCCUCCUCUUUUGUUCUAGUAAUUAUCAGAAAGCAUAGUAUUAGAUAUGCAAAACCAAGAAAGAAUAAGUAAAUUAAGAAGGCAACAAAUCACUUCUAGAAAACCUGGUAUUCCAUCAGUUUCUCAGCAUGCUGUCUUUCUUCUUCACUUGACUCCUUGAAGAAUCUGAAGCAACAGGAUGAUACAUUAACUCUAAUAAUUAGAACAAUCAAGCAGUAUGAGAGAAUUUAUGGUUAUUGGGGUUACUUGGCAAGGCCCCUGAGAGCAAUGUUGUCCCUGUCGAAGUAUGCAAACAUUGAAUGAUACACAUAAGACACAUUGUAUUCCACACUGUUAUAUCAAACAAAGCAAGAAAAAGGUCAGUAAGAAGAAAAUUUUAACUGAAACAGGAACUAGUGAUAACGAUGAUAAUGAUGCAUGAAAAAUCCUGGACCUGGACGAAGAAACAAAGUGAAUGAAAAGUAAAGUGAAUUUUACAGAGUAGAAUGGUAUCCCCCCUCUCAGGUCAGCCCUGCUCUUUAAAACAAACACAUGCCCACAGCUUGAGAUUCGCAGCUAUAACUCCUAAAGUCCCAUUGUCUUUUCCUGGGAAUCCACUUAAGCAACUCAAAGAGAAUUGCUCUGUCCGGACUAAGGAGACUACUUUACAAGGCUAUAUCAGAAAGCAUUUUGUAUGGUCUCAAUGUAGUAUGUUUUACAAAGAUAGCAGAAUACUGAUAAGAGCAGAAUAUGAAACAAUCUCCAUCUUGGCUUUAAUUUCUACCAAACCUCCCCAUGAUGGUCCCAUUGUCUUCUCCACCACAAUCCCCUAAGCAUCCAAAUCAACUAAACUACAUGUUGAUCACUAAUGAGAAAAAAUAGAAAAAAUUUUAACCUCUCCCAGGAAGUUGAAUUCCAUUUAUUUUAUUUUUAGCACCUUCUGUAGACCAUGAUGAGUUAAAGAGUCUAUGAAUCAUGUCCUGCCAUAGACCAAUUUUCAUCUUCCUAUUGAAUUAUCCACCCUAAACUUAAUUUAUCUAGCAUCAUAAACCAAACCACUAACUCGAGUUGAACUUGGCUUGGGCUCAAGAGCAUGAAGAGCUAGACAAUGGCUCAUUACGCAUGGUUGAAUGAUCAUUUCUCAUGCUUGACCAAACUUAACUAGAUCAUGUAAAUUUGUAACUAUGGUUAUAGUAAAACUAAACAUUAAGUUAAGAUCACAUAUAUGGUAGUCAACAAAAAGGUAGAGCCAACCAAAGCUUGGAUUAGGUACAGUAAUUUAUUGUGAGCCUCAUUUAGAUCAAGAUCAGCCAGCACCUAGUUAAGCUUGCUCAGGUUGUAGAUAAAAUUCAAUGCGAAGUUAAAGCAGAUGCAUAAAACGAACAACAAGGAGGGACAGAAGGCAGGAAGCUUAACAUGAUCUUCCUAAAAUUGGGCUGUUUCUUAAGAAGGGAUGUGUUGCAAACUCUCUCUUUGUUAAGAAUCAAAAGUACCAGGCAUUGAUGAAUGUGAAAACCAAGUCAGGAACAAUAAACAAGUAGAACCCAAUUCUCAAAACAGGGACUAGAAGACAGGGUUCUCUGGGAAAACAUAUUAAGUUUAAGGUUUGGAGUUGGUGGGCGAUAAUGGCAGAAGAAAAAAAAAUGAGAACACAAAGUCAAUGCAACUUGAAGCUUUAAGCAAAGAAACAAAGAGGGGGAAAGCAAAAAAUUGGAAAGGAAUUUCGAACAGUUUUGUUUAUUUAUUUUAGAAAUAAUAAGAAAAAAUAAUUAUAAUAAAAACUAUUUAAAGUCUUCAUAUUUUUAAUUUAUAAUAAUAUUUGAGAAAUAAAAUAAAAUAAAAUAUUAAAUUUAAGUUUAAU
rnacentral:lncRNA from 1 species